rnacentral:lncRNA from 1 species
UUCUCUGUCCCCUCGGACUAGACACUAUGCCUCUCCAGCCUCAGCUUUCUCAGCUGUAGAGUGGAAAAGCUGCUCUGCGUCACCUGCAAGUUGGCAGCAGGAUCACAGCUACCCUGUCACCUCUCUCCUGUGGACUCCAGUUGUGCGCGGCCUGCGGUGGCUCCACAUGUACCUCUGGGAUCAUUUGGUCCCUGCAGCAUGAGGUCAGCAGAACAGCAGCCAACAACCUUGUGACUGGAGCUUGCUGUGCUGUUACCUUUCGUGGCCGGAGGGUGUUUUCAGGUGUGACGAAGCUAAGGAUCCUGAGAUGGGGACCAUCUGGAUUAUCUAGUGCAAUCGAUGUCAUCACUAGAGUCCUUAGUAGAGAAAGGCAGGAGGGUCAAAGCCAGAAAAGCAGAAAAGUGACAUCUGACUGUUCCCUGCUGCUGGCUUUGAAGACAGAGAAGAGGCCAUGAGCCAAGGGCAGCCCGAUUCGGGAGGCUGCAGGGCAGCAGGCAGCUGCCUCCUCCAACUUUCAAGGGAGGACAGCCCAGCCAGCACCUGGCUUGAGCUCAGGAGGACCCAUUUUGGACUUUUGGACUCCACAAUUUUAAGGUAAUGAAUCUGUUCUUUUGAGCCACUAAAAUUUAUGGUAAUUUGUUUUGGUAGCCAUAGGAAAUGAAUAUAUAGGAGGUUUCAGAAGGAUGUAUGCUGAUCGAGAGAGCCUAGUGUGUGACAAGAAGAUGUGGGCAUUGUUGUUCACUCUGCUGUUUAUUUCUCCAAAGAAAGAACUCUGUGAGAUAACUACACUCCUUAUUUUUGAAGUGAGAAGCCUGCUGCUCAGAGAGGUCACAUGUAUGGUAAAGGUCACACAGCAGGUGAAAGGAAGAGAGAUUUUAGACUUCCAGAGUGAUGCAGGUUUAAUCUACUGACCACCAAGCCUGCUGCACUGUCUGCCCUCUCAGUCCAGGGUCAUGACUGCCCACCUGACAGCCCUUCUCAGUCCUUGCCACCCAGCUCCUUCCAAGUGCCCAGGCCCCUGCAUUAUUCAUGAAACCACUUAGAGACUCAUAUCAGAGCUCAGGAAAUAGGAUUCUGAGUCUGGCUUUCAGUCGGCCUUAACACCCAGCUUGCAGGUCUGACCCAUCCCUCACACCCUCUCCAGGUGCCCGACCCAGACGGCUGCUCUCACCUCUGACUCUCAAAGGCACAGCCCUCUCUUUCUCCUCUUUGGUCUCCACAAAAGCACUUGCUUCCUCCUGGAUGGUUCAUUCCCAGGGCCUAGUGAGUGCCCGGAGGAAGAGCCUGAGCCCAGCGUGGUCCCCUCAGUGUCCCUAGAGCUGCUUGGGAUAGAGGCUGGGACUUCAGGUGUACAGAGGCCUGCCCUGCCCUCCGUGGUCUGGAGGGUCCUUAACCCCCCUGAGCCUGUUGCCGCUUCUGUAAAAUAAUACCUGUGCCCCGGCACCAAGUCCUCCUGCAGCUCUGGGAAGCACAGGGCCUAGUUCUCCAGAGGGCACAGGAGUCUUCCCUUGCCUACAGCUUCGCUUUCCCUGGAUCCAGUUUCCUGCAGUCAACUAUUGUCCAAAAUCAUUAGAUGAAAAAUUCCAGAACUCAGCAAAACGUAAGUGUUAAACCAUGCACCUUUCUGGAUGUUGUUCUCCUCCCUCCCACCUGGGACGUGAAUCAUCCCUUUGUCCAGUGUUUGGGAAAAUAAAAUAUUGAGAGAGAGAGAGAGAGAGAGAGAGAGAGAGAGAGAAUAUUCACAUACCUUUUAUUGCAAAUACACUCAUAAUUGUUCUCUCAUGUUAUUAUUGCUCAUCUCUUCCUGAGCCUGAUUUAUAAACUAAACACUAUUAUAGGUAUGUACAUACAGGGGAAAGCCGUGGCAUGUAUAGUGUUUGGCAUUAUCUGUGCCUUCAGGAAUCCACUGGGGUUCUUGGGACCUCGUGAAUAAGAGGCCCUAUUGUAGCAAGGUGUCAUUAGAUUUGAAAUACAGCUUCCCCUUCCUCCUUGCGCUUCCUGCAUGCUCUGAAGCACUGCGAUCCUUGGACAUAUGAAGGUCGUGGUUUCAGGUUCUGUUUUCCUUUGAAAUAGUCCAUGGUUUCAGGUUCUGUUUUCCUUUGAAAUAGUCCAUGGAGAACAAAAAUUAUGAAAACAUUAAAACUGCACUCGGGGGUUUGUAGGCCAGGGCGGCUGCAUCCACUCGCUAAGCAAUGGAAGCCUUUGGGAUCAAGCGACUCCCCCUAAUGCUCCUGUUAUGCUCACCUGUACUUUCCUGAGCAGGUGACUUGAGAUCUCAGGUACUCAAUUUCCUCCCUGUGCAGGGAAAGCACAGAAGAGCCUAAGCCGAGAUAGGUUCUUUUCUAGUUCAAGGUUCUGGGUUCCCACGUGACAUCUGCCUUCUUGAUCCUGAAUUAUCCUAUGUUCCAUCAGAACUUAGAAUCUGUGUUUGUACCCAGAAAGGUAUGGGGUUCCAAAAGGCAAGUGCUCUUUAAUAAAAAUGCCUGGGCUUUAUUCUGCACGUUGCAAUAAAGACAUCGCCUAGUGUGGUAUUUAUCAGAGGAGAUGUUGACACCUGGGGCUGGUCCUACAGGGACAUAGAGGGCUCUAUCGAGGGCAGGGGGUUCACUGUAAUGGGCCUAAGCAGAGCACAGGGAGGCCCAUUAAGAGGCCUUUGUCAUAGUAUUCAAGAGUGGAAAUGAGAGAAAACCCGGGUCACUGAGGUCACUCGGGUCAGUGCCUGGUCCUCUCAGUGGCACUCAGAGCCCCCAGGACCAAGCUGAAUGUUAUUUUUAAAAUGUUGAAUUUUAAGGGUAAUGAUUGAUAUGUGACUUCUUUCUGAAUGGGGAAAAGUGCAGCGUAGUGACAUUAAGGAGAAAGCAGGUGAUAGAACACUGUCUUCACCUGGAGAGGUGAGAAAGAAGAAGUGGAGAGCAUCCCCUCCCCCCACACACAUCAUGGCCACAGCAGGAGAGGGGAGAGUUCCAGACAAGCAUGGCAGCCCUCCUGGGUCUCACUUCUGAGCUGGGGGAGUUCACUGUGCAUCAACCUGACUGCGACCCAGGGCGCCCAGACCAAACACCUUUUCCAGGUGAGAUUUGCCCUGGAGUUGCAGUCUCAGAAAAGCAGAGUACCCCCUCCAGUCUGGGCCCUUUUCAGCUGUUGGAGGUCUGAAUAGCACCUCCAGUGGGACUCAUGUGAUUAGCUCUGGGUGUCAGAGCUACCCCACCAGCUUCCUUGGGUGUCCUGGUUGCAGACAGUGGCAGAACAUGGAUGUGGAAGCCUUUGUAACUGCAUGAGCCGACUGUUCAUCCCCAAAGAGGUCAUUAUUCCCCUGCCAGGUAGCCCCCGAGGGCUGCAUUCAUCUUAUUUGAGCACCUCUUCCAUGUCCAGUACCCAAUAGUCUCUGGGAGGAUGACCAAGUCAAGGACAGACAAGAGAAAAAACUUGGGAAGAUUUCUGAUGCCACCACCAUUGCACUGGAUGCUGUGGUUUUGUGGUGCUUGUCACCUGAUAGACUAGAAGGGGAUUCUCCAAAAAUACAGCUAACAUAUUACAUGAGGGGGCAUCAACCUGCUAGAGCCAGGUGUGCUGGGCAAUCAGAAUCUGAGUGAUUGCAACCUUGUCUGUAAGGCAAUCUAUAAUGCUUUUACUUCUUUCAUCAUUUAUUCAUUUUAAAAUGGUAGUCAUAUAAAAUUACAUAAAGGAUGUAUAAUAAAUACAUAAAACCGUACUGUUAUGACCAGCAAACUCUAUAAUGAUGCUAACCGUGCUUGACUAAGUUGACCUUCUGGUUUGUUCCAGAGCUUUCUGGCAUCCUAGAGAAGUGGGGUAUGACCAGCCAUGAAAUGUUCCUUGGUGGUAAGGAAGGGCCAGGCCUGUCUGUUGGGGGAAAACUAGCACAUCUUCUAAAUGCAUUUCCAAAGUAAUGUUUCACAAAGUGCUUAUAUAGUUUUAUAUUUUUAAUCGAGUGACAUCUUGGCCUAGCGUGAAUUGUGCAGAAUAUUUUGCUGGUCCUUUCGAUCCCAGCCCCAUCAUUAGCUAGUUUUAUGACAAGUGGAUGCCAUUCAUGUUCACGCCAGAUAUGCAGCUUCCUCAGCUUGUGGGGAAGACUGCUUAUUUAAUGGUGGCCAUGGUUUCUGGGGCCUUGUAAGCUCCCAGUAUACAGUGGUGUCAUUAUUAGUUUUAUGCUGUCAUUAUGUGGAGGAUGGAGAAGGCAGAAUCCCUCAGAACAUAAUUCCAGCAGAAGGACUUGUGCUGGUGGGGCAGGCGAGGUGGCCAGCAGGACUUCUUGGCAGAAAUGAAAAAUUGACAACAGAAAUAUGAGUAAGCAUGAUGCUCUGGUUUUUCUAAGAUUGUUAAAACACAAGGGAGGACCCCAAGAAUCGAAAACAGCCAACAAGCACAUGUGCAAGAUGGCGGAAGGGAAGCUGGAGCAAGUUGUUGGAGCCAUCGCAAAGCCAGGACGGGGAAGCAAAGCCAGGCCCUGCCCAGCCUGGCUCUCCCUGAGCCCUGCACAUCAGGUCAGGAACCUCAUAAGCUGCCCAAACACCAAGACUGUGGUGUUCUUUGGUCCCCAACCACAGCAAAUGAAAGUGCCUCUGGAGGUGACAUAACAGAUGCAGGCUAUGCACACAGACUGAUGGAUGCCAUGCAAAAUAAAUGCACAAGAAACACUUGCAGCACCCAAAUAGGAAAUCCAAAUAUCAAAAAGAAAUACAAUUUGAUGUCCACAGAGAUUGGGAAGAAAAAAACCUUACUUUUUUCUUUACAAAUAAAGUUAUUGAAAUUCAUAAUCCAACAAAUGGGCUAAACAUUACAUUAAAAACAAACAAACUGAAAAUUGGUCAUCACAGAAGUAGAACAGGAAAUAACCAGGAUGUUUGGAAGAGAGACAAGGAAAUAGAACAUAUAGAAAGCCAUUGCAUAGAAUAUAGAAUAAAAAGUGCAGGGCAUGGCACCUGCUCCUGCCAAACCAAACACUAGACACAGCGCUGCAAAAUCGGAACACUUCAAAGAAGACCCGCAAAAUGGCCCGAGUGAAAAGAUGGACAAACUGACGAGAGAACCCUCGACAGAAACUACGGAAGCCUGAAGAUGCAGGUAACCUUCCAGCAAGGCCCAUCAACUCUCCUUGCAAGGAAACUUAUAAAGAUAUUUUUCCGAAAUUUCUCCAAAUGGAGAGGAUGAUGACCACAGGCAGUUCUGAGGAAGGUUUGAAAGGGACUCCUCAGGCAGAUCAAUAAACAUUCAGAAAGAAAAUCUGCAAGUCCGCCUGAGCCCAGCCAGGCCCCGCAUCCACCUCCCAGCACAGGCCUGGGGGAGCCCUGCAGUUCUCGCUCAAGUGAGGAGUCGGGGUGGCUGGGCUGGGGCCACCCUGCUGAAGGGCAGUGACCCACUCUGAAAGGAGUGGCUGCCUCUGCGGGCAUCUGAGCUGGCCAUGCCCUAGAAAACAGGAGAUGGCUUUUGCCCGUGUCCUGUUUGGAAAAGGGUUUGAAUUGUCCCAUUUGCCCUCUGAUGCUGAGGAUCGGGACCUUUGCCUGAUGUUACCUCUGACACCAUCAGUGGGGACACACACUAAAUCUGGGGGGAUUGAGAAGCCCCUGUCACUUCCCGACAAGGGCAGGUGCUUCCAAAUCUUUGUGUUGCUUUGACAGCUGGGCGCCAAGGGAGAGGCUCUCCGUGUGCCACAGUGCCGCCGCUUGUCCCCAAAAUGGAUUUCCUGUGCACCACGAGUUACAGAAAAGCAGUCAAUCAGGUCAGAGAAAGCAGACGAACGACUGAGUAAUAAACUAGAAUCAAGAGAGCGCCUUUCCAAGUCGGCUCAAAGCCACUUCAGAACCAGAACCGGGAUCGUUCCUCCCGCCACUACAACAAAAGAAGUGCCACCCUCCUCGGCCGCUCUGUGCUGUGGCCCAUGGAGUCCACCUGCGAUAGCAAGUCACCAUUUCUCCACUGCUGCCUGGGAAGGGCCUUGGAAUCCUCAGUUUGAUUAACGCAUUGAUAAGACAUCUAUUUUACUUAAUACAAACACGCCUGUGGGAUUGGGGGUGGGAUUCCAAAAAAUGAGGCCACACUGGAAAUAUUAAAUACAGAUAUAGUAGUAAAACCUUCAGCUAAAAUAGCAAUAAAAUGGACCUCCGGUGGGCCUCUUGGGGCAUUGAAGGGAGCAGCUUCGUUCCGCAGGUGAAAUAAAUCAACCCGGCACUGCCGAGUGGAAAUAGGACUCCACUAUAUCUUUAUUGAAGAUUUGUAGGAUGCCAAGUCAGAGCCAUGUGGAGGACAAAUGCAUAUUGUUUUUGAAACUGAAACAUGAAUAUGGUUGUAAUUUUAAUGUUUCUUGCUGGAAAAAGGUCACAUUGGUGAGGCCGGGGCUUUCUUGAAGUCAUUUCCCAUUGAGGGAUCUGCCAGGCUCUGACAUCCCGACUCACAGAGGCCCAACCCUUCUGACACACGAAAUGGGCUCUCGGAACAGCCCAUGGUGGUUUCUAUCAGCAUUUAUGAUCCUUAUGUGCUCGGGAAUAUGAGCUGAUGGCAGGCAAACCCCACGGUCUCUCAGAGGCUAGAGAUGGAGUGGAGAGAACGAACAGGAAGAUUUCAUUAUUGAAAGGUAAAGUAAUUAUAUUUGUAAAGUAAAAAUAUAGAUCUAAAUCCCUGGGGCAGGGGGUAAGGCGGGGGGCGGGGUGUGAGUGUGGGCAGCACCAUGCUUAUCGCUGCCUCUCUUUAAGGACAGAGACGCUGCAUUCAUUUCAAAAUCGUAAGAGAUGUACGCUCCUCUCAGGAAAGACAGAGCAGACUGAUAAUUUUAUAAUGUUUUGUGAAGCUACUUGCUGGUACAGUUUGAGCGCACACCUCAAUGUAACUUCACAAUGGUGGGCUUUAAAGCAUCAUCCAGCCUAGGUCUGAGUGAGACUGUGCGGGUCCUACCUCUGUCCCUUCAUGUCUGUGUAACCAUGGUCCAUUCAUUGAACCUCUGUGGCCUUGCUGUCCAGGCCGGGCUUGCAGUGGCAGAAAAAUCUAAUUCUGGAUGAUGACUAUGUGUCUGAGAGUGGUUUGAAAUACACUGUGAAAUGGGGAGAAUCCUUGAUAGUUUUGCCUUUUGCAAUUGCCAAUGGAGAUGCCAAUUUUAACAGCUGCAUGGGAUCACUUGGGUUCCAAAAUCAUCCCAGGAACCCAGGGUCUAUAUGGAACUUCAUCUAAAGCAAAAUGUGACAACAGGAAAUCAUUUUAACCAGUGAAAUGGGACCAGGACUGGCCUCUAGGGAGCUGAUACCCUAUAACAACAGCAACGGGUACACAAAAGACCAUCUUUUAAUAUUGUGCCCAGCCUGUUCCCUACCGCCUUUCAAUAUUGUGUUAUGAACCAGAGUAAGGAAAAACUGAAGUGUGCUUGUUUCCCUGCUCCUUGUUCUCCCAGAACUCCUGUCUGACCACUAGUGAGUUGCCCCAGCUCACCUACCCAGGUUUGGGGGUUUAGGUCACCCCUGUGUGUUGGGGGUAAACAGCCUUAGAGAAGAAAAUGAUCCACCAAGAAACAAACCAAGUUUUAGUGUGUGGUGGGGAAGGGGGGAGUGACAGCUAGGAACCCCCCACCCCCCUCCCGCGUGGGGAUAAACCCGUCUCUCCUAGUGUUGGCUCUUCUGCCCAAUACUCAGCAAGAAGCCAAGGUGUGUGGCAGCUGUCCAGGCAGUGGGGGACCCAGGUGUUCCCCUUCUGGAAAGGAUCCGGGUGCCCCCCGGGCUCAAAAGAGGAGAAUAUCCAGGUGUAACUGCAGGGUCUGUGUCUUGCUGCUCCCGAGCUGUGCCCUCCUGCCUGCUCCUGCCUGUCUAGAGCAGACCCACCACCGGCAUCCGCGUUCUGCCACGUGCGCAGGCUGGAGGCUGCCAGGGGAGGCCUUAAAGUGUUUUGUUCAUUCAUUCAGGAUGACUAGGAAAGUAGGGCAGGAGCGUUGCCAUUAUCUCUCCUGGAGGGCCUCCCAAGCCUAACUGCCAGAGGUUCUUCCUUCUACUCAGAGGGAGCAGCCUGCCACGCACCGCUCUGCAGGUCUCGUCACUGAGAGCUGAGCAGUGUGUCCCUUCCCUGGCACAUCAUGUUCUUGUCUCUGGGGACUCCGUUCCUAAUGGGCAAGCCAUCAGUCAAUAGCUCCAGGUUAGCAGGACAGUGGCUCUGCAUCUGGCCAGGCAUGAAAGGGCUCUCUGACGCUCUUGGGGCCUAGGGAGCAUCUCUCUGAGAAGGUAAAGAAGGAGCCGGGGCCAGCAGGGUGGGGAGGAUUGGUCAGUGUGGAGGGGGAAACACAGAGCUUGGCCCAAGCCUGGAGACGUGACGGUGCUCUGUGUGAAUGGAGGAAGGGAAUGGAGCCCUUUAGGGAACAGGGUCCCCAAUUUCUUGACACUCCCUUCAUCAAGACAUGGAGUCUGCAUUCUCUGAAACUGGUAGAUUUGUGGUGUCUCAGUGUACAGAAUGUGGCAGAAAUGAUAUCUUGUGGCUUCCGAGGUGAGACCAUGUGAGGCCACAUGGUUUCUAUCAGGGUCUCUUUGAGUGCUUACGUCUGAAUGACCUCUCCGGCCCCCACCUCACAGAGCAGCCAUGGGUGUAUGCGCCCGUCAGCAGCCCAGCUGAUCCUGUCCUCUGCCACUGCAGCCCAGACCCCAGGCUCUGGAGAGACGAUGCCAUCUUGCAGCGGAUCCUGAAGUCCCAGCUCUUCUGGACCCCAGUACUUGGUCUCAGAUGUGAAGAGCAGGACAGACGCCAUCUGUUAUGGUUUGAAUAUAAGGUGUCCCCAAAAGCUCAGCCGACAACAUAGCAAUGACCAGAGGUGACAUGAUUAGAUUCUGAGAGCAAUGAUCUACUCAGUGGAUUAAUCCAUUUGAUGGAUUAAUAAUAACUUCUAAGGUAACUGUAGGCAGGUGGGGCAUGGCUGGAGGAGAUUUUGUCAUUGGAGGAGUGCCCUCGGGGAUUAUUGCCUGGCGCUGGCUUCUCCCACUCUCUCUCUCUCUGUUUUCUGGCCCCCACGAGUGAAGUGGUACUUCUCAGCCACAACCUUCUGCCACGACAUUCAGCUGACCUCACACUCAGAGCAAAGGGGUCAGCUGACCACGGACUGAGCCUUUGAGACUCCAAGCCAAAAUAACCCUUUUCUCCUCCGAGUUGUUGUGGUCAGGAAUUUGGGUCACAGCAAUAAAAAUCUGACUGUCACCCAGGGCCAGGAGGUUCCUUCUAAGCUUCCCACUCAUAGACGUUUUAGUAUAAUAAAAUGAUGGCUGCUCAGCUCCACAAGGGGUGGAAGAGUCUGCUUCAUGGCAACAGACAGAGGGACAAAUGGCGUGAGUGGAGCACAGAUGGCAGAUCCAAGCCCCCGCACAAUGGGAGUGCAGAGUACCUGCUCUGGACCACCCGCCUCUGAGACCAUCAUGAGGACUUUGAUCACUACCCACGUAAAUAGAAAGAUGCUGGGAGAAAUAAAACCGAAUGUAUAUUUGGAAAGAUCUCAAAGGUUGCACUGGGGACAGUGCCGAGCUGAAGGACCUGGAUUGGGUUUACAAUCUGGCAUCAGAGGUCAUCGCAGUGUCUGGGUGACAGCUGAUGGGGUCUUGAGCUAAGGUGGUGGUGCAGGCUCUGACAGAUGUGAAGGGAGUAGCGGUCCCCUCAGAGGCCAAAGCACCUGGUGACCACUAAGUGCCAUAUCUGGGUGAGUCGGCCUAGGGAAGCAGUACGGUAUGGGGUCUGGGAUUCAAGAAGUCCAACAGUCAGACAGUAGUGGAGGGAGGGCUGAGAGGAAGGAACCCAGACACGAAGGAGGACGUCUCUGUCCUGCAAGCUUGGGCAGAACAAGGAGAACACUGAGCAGACCAUGACCAACAGGAGAGCCAUCUGGAGGACAGAUGCGGGCAGAGCACAGAUGGAAGUGGGGAAAGUGAAGGCCGGAGACUCUUUCUAGAAGCUGUCUACAGAGCAGAGAACUGAGAAAAACGUUGCUUAGGUGGAGCUGAGACGGGUGAAGUGUUUGUCCUUCAAUGGGAAGACCAGGAUCAGGAGACUGAGAAAAAUCUAGUGAAAUGUACUCAAGAGAGAUGAGGAAUAAAUGAGAUUUUAAGAUUCCUGAGAGGACAGGGAGGUCUGUCUUCAAGUGAGGCACAGAGAAGACCUGGAAUUAGAAGGGGGAUGCCUCCUUGAAGUUACCAGAGAGCCGGAGAGGAUGGAGGUCGGUUGAAGAGACAGUGAUGCUUCGGGACCUUCAUCUGUCAUUGCGGUCUUCUCUGUAUAGAAAGAGGAUUCCUAUUCUUCUGUGUAUUGUGUGGUGUGCAGGGAUUUGAGAGGCAGUGCAUGUCUGGAAUAUCUACAUAGGACCUCGGUUGGCCACAGACACCUGGGAGCGCUGCCUGGUGGUGUGAGGCUGCAGGAGCCUGAGUUCAAUGCCCUCUCCUUGCUGGGUGAGCUCUUCCCCAUAGCAUUAGCUCCUUAUCUGAAGACAAAUGUGUCGUUGAGUUGAUUUAGGGUUUGGGUUUACCCAGAUGUAUACCAAAGACAGAGGAGGAGAGAUUUCAGUGUAUUGGCAGAAUAAAUAAAAAUAAAAAUGCCUAAAACAAUCUAAGUCACACUCAGAGGGAAAUAAAGAUGCUGAAGGUUGAUGGAAUGAGAAAAGACAGCCCAGGGAAUAAAUUGACUGUGGAUUUCCAGUAACUUCUCCCAUGUGCUCCUGGAAGUGUGGCUCCAAGAGACCGGCACUGAGUGAGAAUCCUUUACCUGGGCCUCCCUGUCCCGUGCCAUAGAAAUGCGAGGUGGCAGGCACUAGGGUUUUGAGGUCUGGCUCUUGCUUCACACAUGGUGCUGAAUCUCAGCCCUUCCACCAAAGCAACCGUGAACUUGGGCAUACCCCUUGACUUUACAAGGAAGCCAUUCUCUUUGCCCCCAAGGAAAAGAUGCACAUCAUUGUAGAAUCUACCCCAUGAGCUUGCUGCCCAUGAGUUAGUACACACGGACCUUUCACUACGUGGGGACAUGUAAAUGGUGCAGAUUGGGCAGCAUUGCCCUAAAUACUAACCCAAAGCCUCAUUGAGUUGGCUACUUUGCCUCCAAUCAUUCUGUAGAAAACUGAGGCUCAGAGGAAGUAAGUAGUCUGUCCAGGAUGCCAGAUAACUGAAGUCUGAGAGCAGAUUCAUAACAGGGCUGCCAUAUUGUUGAGGCUUUUAUAUCCAUGGCCUCGUCUAGUAACUGGUAGAGUUGAAAUUAAAAAAAAAAAUUUAAAAAAGAGUUGGUUUGAGUUCUAAUUCCUACGUGCCUUUGUGAUUCCAAGAUGCCUCCCGGAAGUGUCCUGAUUCUGUGUUCCUACCUCUACAAUAGGUGUGGGCUAUUGACUCACCACCUCCAUCUCCAGGGAGAAUAUAAAUAUGAAGUGGGAAAUGAGAAAAGUUGUUUGUCAAUGAUAGAGCACAGCUUUCUCUGUGUUCACCCUUUCUGCUUCUCCUGUCCCUCAUGCUCAAGGGCACAUGUGAGCAAAGACUUUCAUCAGCCUAUGGAUACAUCUGCUUUACUCCACAAGGAUCCACAGGGCUGAGGAAGAGAUUGUGGAAUUCCAGAAAAACAGAAGUCAUCUGCCAGCAGCAGCCUCUGUCCCUGAAAACAAGUCCCCGAACCCAGAUGUGGGAUCCUCUGCAUCUUUGUCACCAAAACUAAGCCAAUGGGAAUCAGAAGCCAAAAUAAUGGAGGAACCUCUUCAUCACAUCCCUCAGAAUGGGACCUGGUCUUAGUCACUUGGCCAUAACCAUAUUGCUGAUACCAGAUGAGUUACCAGUCUUUCUAAUGAGGACUCAGAAGCCAUUUCAACUUCUUUGCAAAGAGAGGACCAGUGCUGAUUAGGUGCAGGGAAGCAUGACACCCCCAACACCACGUAACCCUUUCCUUCCUUGAUCUUCACCAGGGCCAUGCUGUGGUUGAAAUCAGAGGACAGAACCGGGUUAUCUUCCCCAUCCCCUUCUGAGAAGCCUUCCACCCAGGCUGGGGCCUCACCCACUGCAGGGACAUCACCUUCUCACUGGCUUGCCACCCUUGGUGAGUGUUGAGAUCCACAACCAAGUCAAGAUGGCACCUGGCAUUUUGCCAGAAGGAGUGGUUGAGAAGUAAAGCCAGUGAGCCAUUAAGAUGAUGAUAAUUAAGUUAAGCUGUGUAUAAUUAUUAAGAUAAUGACUGAUUGCUGUAACUGGAUGAUGCUAAAUUGAAACAAGCUGUGUAUUCAGUUUUGUAUAUAAACCUCUGCUGUCCGGCAAUAAGGCGGCUCCUGCUACCUCGGGUGCCCGCUACUUUUGUGUUCUCGCGGAGUUCCCGUUGGUUCUCGUGGAGUUUCCGUGGAGUUCUAGAGAGUUCCCGUUGAGUUCUGGCAAUAAAGUAGUUCCUGUUUGAACCUACAAGUGGCUCAUGACCUCCCGGUUAUUUGUGCCCAGCCAGACUGCGGCAGGUGAGCCCAUCCAGCCACAGAGCCAGCCCUGUACGUGCAAAGCACUGCCCAUCUCAUGAUUCCUCCUGCUCUGGGGGCUCCCUCUCACUCUCAGAGCAGCGCCCAACCCCGUACAUGGGUUUUCCAAACUAAGGAGCCAAUAAAUAACACUGAAAAAGGGAAAGUCAAUAAAUAACAGCAAAUACAUAUCCUUUAGAAAUAUAAUAAAUAAGCUGGUAAAACAAGGGCAGGUGGCUAGCUCAGAAGGGCUGAUUCAGAAGUGCCCAGGAUUGAGGUAGGGGUUCUCCACUAUGUACUCAACCAAUCAUGUACAGAGUUUUUUUUGAUAAGAAUAAAAAGUGAAAAUAAAUUUUUCUGAAUCGUUCAGUUUUAUUGGGGAAGGAGAAAGUCAUGGCUUUUGCUAAACAUUAUUCUUUAUGAAAAGCCAAUUUUCACUAAUACUUAUAAUCUGUUUCUCAGUUACUACCUACCUUUUUCUGUUUGUCUCAUCAGAAAUAUCUAGUAAUUGGAAAGAGAAGUAGAAGAGAGAUAAUAAUCAGCAAAGGAAUAUUUAUAAAAUCAUAACUGAGGUUCAAGAGCCACUAAAUCAUCCUAUGACUUAAAAUUGACAAUUAGUUAAAGUUGUUUGAACUUCCUUAUCUCAUCUAUUUUUCAGGGGACCAGAGCUUAUUACCAAUGUUGUAGCCACAGGGAUGCUGAGGUCACAGGAAUUGGCUGACUGGUGGAUUCCUAGUCACAAACAGGUGGAGUCCUGUCUAGAAAUGACUGGUAGUUUCUCUCUUUGUCCAUUUGACAGAGCUCUGGUGAGGGUCUAUAUCAGCUCAGUUGUGCUGCAGUAACAAGUAGUCCCACAUCCAGGACAUGAAAACUGUGUGCGGGACUUUUGCUACAUGUCUACCCUGUGGUACUAGGGACUUGACCUUGCAGUGGUCCUCACUGUAGCUGAGAUGGGUGAGUUGCCACCGUCUGGAGCAUUCCCAGGCACCAUCACAGGGAGACAAGAACUGUGAAGCCUCCUACCCGGACGACCAUGCCCUCAACAGGACAGGAUGCAGAAACUCCUCGACCAAGAGAAGCUGUGGGAGUUUUGCACUAUUUGAAGAAAAGGCCCAAUGGCCACCAGCCUCUGGGCACAUGGGCAAACUGAACCUUGCUUUGUACACAGUGAGGCUGGCAGUUACCUGAGACUGACUUUCUUCUCAAAGCAGGUGCCUUUUCCAUCCUCAAAUAGUGACAAAUAGCAGGCGAGGGGCUGGGCAGUGAGGACAAGCAGUGUCGGGGAAGUGUAUGGUGACCUCCUGUGACACAAGCCAGUCACAUCAGCCCCUGGGCUACACGUGGCCUGGGAAAGAGCUCGCCCUUCUACAGUGGCCCCAAAGCUGUCAGCAUGGCAAAGCAUGACGACAAUGAUGGUAACUUGGAAAACUAAUUCUAUUUUACUUUCUCCAUGAAGAAAAUGUCAGGGGCAAGGGAAAAAUAUCUUUUUAUAUAAAAAUAAAAAAUGUGGGCAGUGAGGCAAGAGCUGUGGGCGGGGAGCGGGGCUGGCACACGGCCUCCAGGACAUGUCGUUCCUCUUCUGAUUGAAGAUGAGGGAAGGGAGGAUUGGGACGCAGCCACCUGCUUCCUCAUAGCAGUAAAGAAAGAGAGAACAAUGUCUCUGUUGCUGGGAGGGGCAGCCGAAGACCUUAAUGAAGAAAAGGGAUUGCCUGCGAGACAGAAUAGUCUCCUUGUGUAUCUUUGUAUUUCCUGCUCGAAGUGUCUGGAUUUUGAUCAUUGAGUGAGACACGGAAUAAGACAAUUCUGGAUAACAUGAGCCUGCCUCGGGGAGCCUGAUUAAUGGAUCUACGGAUCCUGAAAACAAAACAGCAAGAUGCUGCAGGGUUGAGGGGAGACACCCAUUUGCACCCCACUAGCACCCCUGCCCCAGGCCUUCCUUGACAUCUGCUCAGUCAGUGCUUAGAUGCAGACAGUGUGUGCACGGGGGACGCUUGCGCCUCUGCUGGUUCUUGAGAGGUCUGAGCCCGUCACUAAGUCAUCGCUUCUUUGCUUUCCUAAAGUAACUUGGUGUGAAUCCCACACUGAGACCCUCCUGGUACUGGCUUUGUCCAGGACGAGCCCUUGUCAGUACUGUAACUCCAACAGGAUGGACAACAUCUCCCCAACAUGGCGUGCUCUCUUGGGUGCCCCUACUGGUCUCCUAGGGCUGUUGUAACAAUCACCACCACCCAGGUGGCUUGAGACAAUAGGAAAUCAUUCUCUGAUGCUUUUGGAGACAAAAGUCCAAAUUGAAGUCCAGCAGGGUCAUUCCUCCUCCAAAGGCUUCAGGAAAGAAUCCCCAUCCUUGUCUCAUCCAGACCCUGUGUCUCUGCACACUCGGCUCCCAGCCACAUCACUGACUCUCUUCCCCUGACUUCAGGUGGUCUCCUCCCUGUAUCUGGUGUCUUAGAAGGACACCUACCAUUAGAUUCAGAGCCCACCCUAAGUCCACCAUGAUCUCAUCUCCAGGUUCCCACCUUGCCUCUGCAUUACCUUUACAGUUCUGGGUGGACACAGCUUUUGGAGGGCAGCUUUUCUAUAUACAACAGUGCUCACCUAGGAAUUGCCAGGCAGUGUGAAAGGCUGGACCUUUUCCGUGGGUGACUCUCGCUCAUCUAGAUAUGACAUUUACAAAAAGAAAAUUCCUUGAUGUCUUCUCUAUGCAAUUGUGUGACAGGUUUGCAAAAUCUCCUCAAUCCAUCUCUAAGACAGAAUUCUGUGGCCUUUGGGACUUGGGAGAAAACAAUUCCCCACCAUUGGUGAAGUCCUCACUCUGAUUUGCUCUAAUUCUUCAUUCAAGAAAUCUUUCCUGGAAUGGGGGCAUAGCUCAGCAGUAGAACACACACGUCUCUCAUACACAGGACCCUGGGUUUGGUCCUCAGCACUGCAAAAUGCAAACUUCCCUGAGCACCUGUUAGUACCAGGCCCUGGGCCCAGCCCUGGGUUGAGUAGUGACUGGAUGGUGGUUGUCCUGGAGUCGUGCAUGGGCUGUGUCACUGCUCACUCUCUCCCUGACUAGAAGCCCUCCUUUGGAGACUUCCCUUUGCCACCUGACUGUGGUGAGCUUCGCACCCCUGUGACCAAAAUAUCUGUCAAGAACAAUUUAGAAGACACAAAGUUUAUUUGGGUUCACUGUUUCAGAGAUUUAGUCCACAGUGGGCCAAAUCCUUUGCUCUGGGCCCAAGGUGAAUCAGCACACCACGGCCAAGGGGAGGCUGCUCUGCUCUUGGUGGUGAGGAAGCAGGAAGAGAGAGGUGGAAGGAAGAGGCCACAGGGAAGGAUCACCCCAGUGACCCACCUGCCCACAGUUGCCAUCUGUUAGUCCAUUCAAACUAGGAGGAGCCACAUGAUCUUACGAUUCUCACACUCCAGUCAUUUCACCUUUGAAUACCCCUGCAUUGGCACAGAAUUCUGGGGGGACACGUCCUCUCCAAAUCCAACUCCACCUUCUAGAGGAAAGUGGGUCUCAGCAGUAAAGAUCUCAUCUCCCUGGUCUCAGCUGAUGGAAUCAGGAAUGGACACCUGGACCAAGAUGCUGGUCAGAUUCUCUCUGCUGGGGACAUUGAGACUGAGUCACCAUGACCAAAGAGAAGAAGACGCUGAUCUCUUUUCAUUUUUGCUCUUUUGUUUGCUGUUUUGUUUGCACCUAGAGAAACCUGCGGGAAGACCGAGGGAGGAGAGGCACCUGCCUCUGAGGAAAGGCGUGUCGGAUGGCUGCCGAGGUCGCUCUGUGCCCUUGUGACUGGUUUCCUGAUGUCCUCCACGUCCUCAGGGUCUGUCCUCUGCAGCCAGCUGAUGUCUGACUACGGCGGCAGAGAGGGUUAGGACAGCGAUCCCUGGCGCCACUACACCUCGUGGCACAGUCUGUGAUCAAUAAAGGUGGGAUUAAGUUGAGAGGAGGGCGAUUGGCUGGUUCUGUCAACAAGAUAAAAUAAAAAUAAAUAAACUGCCUCCAAGUAGGUGACACCCAUUUGGAAAGAUGAGUAGGAGUUUUUCUGGUUGCAUUUUAUGAAUUAACACGUCCAUGAAUCCUUCUCAGCCUUGGAUUUACUUUGGAGUCCCUGGGGCGUGCCUGGGCCCGCUUCGGGCCAGUUGAAUCAGAACUUGUAAAUUCUGUGUUGUAUUUUUCUUUAAUUCCUCCAGGUGAUUCCAAGGCACUGAGAAGACUGGAGACCACUGACUUAAUGAGUUACGAAAAGAUACAGUAUCCUUCUAGACUAACCCAUCCUCGGCUGCAUUUGGAUUAAGAGCUCUAGUUACCACCCUGGAGCCUUCUGUGGGCCACCACCGUCCUCAACCACCCUGCUGUGUGAAUGGUGCAGCAGGUGUUAAGGGGCAGGCUUAGGUUCUGUGAAUCACAGACACAGGCUCCUGGCACCACUGGGCCACAGGGUUUGGCAUUGCCCACAGGUCCCUCCUCCCUGGUGGCCUCACUGACUCCCCCAAACCCUUCUUUGAUUCGUUCCUGCCUCCUUAUUACUUCUGCCACUGCCCUCCUGCCGGCCUCUUCCUGUGCCCAGUGCUUCAUGUCAACGUUGUCAUCACGAUGGUUGUUCACUCCCUGCCUCUCGACACUCAUUGACGGGCGCUCCACUGUGCAUCCAUCCAUCCACCCCUCACCCAUCCACCCCUCAACCAUCCACCACCCACCCACCACCCAUCCACCAUCCAUCCGUCACCCAUCCAUUUAUCACUCAUCCAACCUCCCAUCUUGCCCCCUGUAGGCAGAGGAGUGGGCUUUGGGCCAGGAAUGAGUGUGAUGAGGUAAGAUGGGGAGGUUGAGUGGCAGGUUAGGGGUGGUAGGACAGAUGGGCUUUGGGCUAUGGCUGAACUGGCUAAGGUUAAGUUUAGGGUGAGGGAAGAGAAGUCAAGUUGGGUUUGGUCUUAGGGAAAGAUGUGGUGAGGGUUUAAGUUAGGGUUAGGGUGGGGAGAUGGAGGGCCCUGCCUUGUGAAUGGUCCACCCACGGGGACCACCUCUAAGUGGAUACAUGAUCAUUGGGAUCUGUCUGCAGGGGGAGCACUGAGCUCCCCAUGGGGUGGUGAAGCUGAUCCUUGCUAAGAACUUCCCAUGGACCCAGGCAGGCAGGAGUCCUCAGGAGGCCCCAAACACCAACAUAGGUCAGGAAAGAUGCCUGUUACAGAAUGUGAAACUCACAGCAGAUGGCAGGAGCAUUUACCAAGGGUGACAUCCACCACACAGUCCAAGGAGGAGGGAGACACUCUCUUUCCAUUUCCUGUGCAUUGGUCUUCAGGUGGUUUAGAGGUGUCUCUGGGUAGAUUCGUCUAUACAAAAUCAGGGAAUAUUGGAAAUCACUCCCCCAGGAAAUGAACCCCAAGUGCAUGAGCCACAAAUUCAGAGACAUCUGGCCACUGUCCACCAUGACCAGCAAGACCAACAGGAUUUUAGCACAAUUUCCCGGCAAGCAGUAAACACACAGCUUGUGUUCUUCUUCUUCACUCUCGCUCUUGUCAUUCAAGGGAGAACCUGGACAUUUGUCAUGGUCAAUCAGUGGAUAGGAACACUGAGAGAGCCAGGGGUGGCUUCCUAUCCUUGAGCAGGAAAAAAGCACAUGCAAAGGCCCAGAGGCAGCAACAGCCUGGCCCCUAGAGGUUCCUCUCCUAGGCAACCCAUGGCCGUGCAGGAGAGAAUGAGGUGGGACUGUCACUGCAGGUCUGAAAGGGCAUGGGACUCCAAACAUCAUUCUGAAGAGGAAAAAGACACCAGACAGGCAUGAUAGAAUAUUUUCAACUUAGAGGCGAGAUAUUGAAUUUUCAUUUUUUUCAAGUUUUAGUCACAAAAAAUGUCUUUUCCCCGGUAAUUUUUGUCUAUCUUCCAUAUACAUUUAUCUAUUGAUAUAAAAUAUUUAUUGAUCCAUAAGAUCUUAGAGUUGAUCCUGCCUUCCAAACAAUACACAAGAACUGGAAGCUAAGAGGGAAAAGACUGGCACAUUUAAACAUAUAAAAAUACAAAUCCUUUAUCUGUCAGAAGACGCUACAUAAAAGAGUUAAAAGAAAACAGAUUGAGAGGCCGUAUUUGCCACUUUUACCCAAGAACUAUUAAUAUUAUUUUUAUAAAAGCAGCUCAAUCAGCAAAUUAGCCAAUUCAUGGAAGGAUGAAAUACCAAUUCAUAAAAGGAGAAAUACAAACAGCCACUAGCAGCCAGAGAAAUGCAAUUCAAAGCAGGAAGACGGAGCAUUUCAAUCAUAGUAGUCGUCACAAUACAUUUCUUUAAAAAAUCGGUGAACAUUCUGCUCAGAGAGAGGAGAGGAGAGCCACUCAGAGAGCAUUAUCAGUGCUGGGCUUUGGGUGAACAGCUUGGCCUUGGCCUUCCGGGACACCAUCCAGGUGUGCAGGGUUGUGAGGAUGGGCUGUACCCACCAUGUCCAUGGCAUCGUUACCUGCAAAAACUGCACCAACCGCAUCGAGAUGCAAAACCUGAAGUCACCUAGGCUCCCAAACUCUAGACUCCCAACAAGACAUUGGAAAAGUUCUGUGGCUGCUGUGUAGACUGAUGUGGUUUCAAGCCACUGCUAGGUGGAAACAAUCAGCCACUAAAACCCAUGAAUGCUCCCAUUCCUGUGAACAAAGGAGCAAAACCUGGUGCAUGUGAAGCUCUCUCAGGGAAUAGGAGAUGGUCUGGGAGCCUGGCAGGGAGGGCUGGAGCCGUGUCGGGGGGUUGCUGCUGUUGGGGCAGAGGGAGGUGCUCGUGAUUAGUUGUGCACUAAUUAUGUUUGGACAUUUUGCAAUAAGAAUAUUACACGUUAUAAACUCAAGUGAUUCUAAAGAGAUCAAACAAACCAAAUACGGUGUAAGGAGUGGCUCUCUCUGCAGAGCCCAGGAUGACCGGAGAGACAGAUGUGCACAGGCCAGGGACCGGGAGGAGAGGGGCGAGGAGUCACCAAGACGGCAGAGUUUGAAGAACAGAAGUGAAAAUCACAGGGCCCUGAGAAACCUGUAAAACAGAGUGACAAACUUGUCCACAAAGAUGCCCAGGGGUUUUGGGUGGCUUUAGGGCAGUGGUGAUGCUGGUAACAGUGACAAACCGGGAAGAGGCAACUGAAUUUGAAGUAACCCUGCUGGGCGUUAUUUUUGAGGGAUUUUACUUAGGAAAUAGAAAAGGACAAUGGAGGCCAAGGCUGGAGGAGAUACUAAGGGCUAGAUGAGUUUAACGUGAGCUCUCUCUAACUUAGGUGCAAAGUUAAGACACAAACAUCACAUCCUGGAGCUGACAUGGCUCAGCACCUGCCCUGUGGACCCUGAGUUUCCCAGCUGCACAAAGACCCCAGGGCAACGCUGACUAAUUGCCAUUGCUUCAAAUAUCUGGGGACGAGAUUUUUGUGGGCUGGGAUGCCUCUCACGAGCUCAACUCUAUCUGCUGUGCUUUUGCCCGGAACCAUCUCUUCUAUGGCUCAUCUUUGCAGUUUGGAAGCUCUGCUGAGUUUAUUAAACAGGCAGCCCCACACCAACACAUGCAGAAAGCAAAGAGCUUGCUCCACCUGACUCCUUCGAGGCUGGGUGGGAGCUGGAGACUUCACCUGGGUAACCUUUGGGAGCCUCAGUUUCCUCUUUUGUUGGAUGGUUUCUAUUGAAGCUCAUUUCUACUUUUAUACUACAAUGUAUGAUCAGCCUCAAUCUUGUUCUAACCCUGAAUCCAUCCCCCCUUGUAGUGCAUUCCCACUCCCCACCCCCGGAAAGGUAGUUGAUUGAUGGUAGCUGAAAGGACACUGGAAAGAAAAAUAAAUUGAAUUUAUGCAAGUGGGGAGGGAACUGCCUCAUUAACAGAAUAAUUGAGCUGUUAGUUAAUUUUACUUGUUAUCCACAGAAAAGGGCAAAAAUCUUCUAAGCAAUGACUCCUCUUCUUCCAAAUGAUUAAAAGAACAACAAAAAGGUUUGUAUCUUGGAUGGAUCUGGUAAUUAUGUGCCCGACACUUUUUUUUUCCUUUUAAAAUAUCAUACGAGGCAGAUGUAUUUUUAAAAUCCUGGCAAUUUACACAACACUAUGAAAGUGUCAGUUCUUCCUAAUCAGAAAUUGUCUGCACUUCCCCAACCUUAUUAGCAGUAAUCCCUGCUAAUGGAUAAUUAUUACCUUUUUCUUACUCAAAUCUAGUUGUUGAUGUAACAACACUUCCUGCUUUGCUAAGAUCAAUAUGUUUAGGGAUCACUGUAAAUAAUGCAUAAAUUUAAUAAUAAAACUGUGCUUGCCGAGAGAAUGCAAACUUCAGCCGUUUGCAUAUCAGCUCUUUAAUUUACAGUUGUUUUAUUUAUUUAUUUAUUUAUUUAUUUUGCCACCAACUGGUAAUGAUAAGUAGCUCUCGGGCCCCAAUAAUGAAGCUCUUCAUACGCAGACAUCCCUGGGACUCUGGCGAAAUCCCAGUGACACCAGGAAAGCCCCAGUGAAGACUAAAUCUGACUUCUCCUUCAAGUCACGUGCAGUAAAUGUUGAUCGACUUGUGAAAGGAGAAUUGCUUUUUACCUUACUGAUCUCAACUGGACCCAGCCCGGAAUGAUCACUCGUGGCUCGUGCAGCAAGUUUCCAGGAAAUUGAAGAUAUUUUUACUGCAGGGGAGAGAAAGCCUGCUGGCCUGGGUCCUUGCCCAGAAUGACACCUCAUAAAGCAUCCCUGGCAAGUGGUCCUGGAAGAGCUUCAGAGGAGGUAGCAUAAUCAUCACGUUAUUCCGGCAUAUGUGCCCCCCCACUCAUCCCCAUUCUUAAUUAAAUCAGAAACACUCCACUAUCUCACACACAAAGACCGUGGCACAAAUAUGCAUGCUUGUGUGUGUGUGUGUAUGUAUCAUGAACACUGACAUUUAAGCCUGAAGGUGUCCCGAUAAACUCAUCAAGAAGAUAAAAAUAAAAUCAGUGUCUGUCUAUAAAUAGUUUGCCUCCAAAUAAAUAUUAAUUGCCCUAACUCCAAUUUUUGUUUUCCAACAUCAAAUGCUUUGAUUGUUAUCUGGAGACUUAGCGGGGGAAAACAGGGAGGCUCUACCUGCGUGAUUGGCAUGGCUUCACUCCCUGCAGGAAGGCAUGGGGGAAACAUCACCAGCUAACUCAUCAUUCCCCUCUUCUUGGGAACAAUGAUGGAGAAGAACUCACGUUUCUUAACAGAUGCAUCUGAUUUAAAGUUCUCAAGAAUGGAAACCUUAUGGCUAUUGGCAAGCAAGAUCACAUUGAUGCACAGAUGAUCAGACAGAAGUACUUGAGGGUCUUCCAUUAGUAUAGACCCUAAAUUCAUCAUCUAAUUGGAUUCUAUAUUCAGUUUGAUAUGUACCUAAGGGUAAAGUUUUCCCUCAAGUCAGGAAAUCUCUUCCCUGAGACCCAUCUCUCCAGCCCCAUCUUUCUGGCAGAGUUUGAUGACCUGUUGUAUUAGUCAACUUUGCUGCAGUAACGAUGAUCCCCAGCCCACAGCAGCUUAUAGUAGCAGCACAGCUUUGAUUUUGUUCACGUUCAUCUUUCCCUGAAGGUAUACUGCAGGUUGGCUUAUCUUCAUGCUGAGUGUAGGCUAAAGACUCUCCCCCUAUGUGGGCAUGAAGUCCUCAAAGCAGAGUGAAAGGCAGGAGACCUGAUGAAAACCAAGUCCCUGGCUUCAGCUUGGAGUUGGUGUGUGUCUGCUCAUACACCAUUGGCCGAGUGAUCCCAAGCUAGUUUGCAGAUAAAGCCGGGAGGGCCAUGUCACUGGCAUCCAGGGACUGGAAGUUAUGUGGCGGUGGCCAGUUGGCUUAGUCUGCUUUCUUUACUGCAACAAAAUUUCUGAGAUCAAGUAAUUUAUAAAGAACCGAGAUUUAUUUGGCUCAUGGCUCUGGAGGCAGGAAGACCAAGAGGAGGGCUCCCAUGUCUGCCUCGCAUCUGGCCAGGGUCCUGGUGCUCUUGAGGCAACUUGAGCUGGUGGAGGGCAAGACCGAGCCAGCUGUGAGCUCAGGGCUCUUUUUCCUUCUCCUAAAGCUACUAAUGCCAUCAGGGGUCCCCACCCUCUUGACCUCAUGUAUCCUGGUCACUGUCUGGAGGCCUCACCUCCAACUGCUAUGAAUACAGGACUUUGGGGAGUAAGUUCCCAACUCAUUAAUUCUAGGGACCACACCCAAGUCAGAGGACCAGGAAAGUGCAAUCUUCUUACUGAGAGGAAAAAAUGAAGACAGGAGAACAGCAAUUCAGUCCAAAGUGCAGGCAAAGGGAAGGAUGGAGGAGGGACCCACGCAGGUAAGCCCUGAGCUCUCCAAGCUCCAGACACUCGAGGGUCCCACCUCCAGUGCCACUUCUGGGUCAGCUCUGCCAUGCCACCGAUGCACCCUGUUCUCGGUCUCUUCUCCUGUCUCCUAAACCAAGUCAGAGAGAGCAAAAUAAUGGUCACAUUUUAUUGCCAAAGAAUUUACUGAAUAACUUUCUACUUCUUUAAAUUUUACACUGAAUGACUUCAGUUCAUUUGAAUGACUAAUAAACUACUUAGUGACAGAUAUUACUGCUUUCAUCAAAUCACAUUCGUUAUCAAUCAUAAGAAGUAUCAUUGUUUUAUGUACAACUAAGAAAAGAAAGAUGCCAAUUAAAGUAUGAUAUGCCAUUAAUUAUAGAGUGCCUCCCAAUUUCAGAGACAUUAAAAUGUGAAAAAUAUGUCUUAGCAUCGGUGAAAUAUGAUAUCUAUUGUUAUAUUUCUUCAUAUCCAAUCAUGUUUCAGAUAAGACCUAUGAAUCUUCUCCUGCUGAUCAUCAUUUAAAAUCAUCUUACAUAGAAUAUGACAUCGAGAAUGUAAAAAAUUGAAAGAUCAGUCAGCUUUAAUACACUCUGGGCUCUACACAGCGAUCGCCCUGUCUGUGUGUUGAUGGAUAACUAAGUUUCAGUUUAUUCAUUAUAUUUCUCUACAGUUUUCUAUUUUAAAUGAACUAGUAUUAAUGUGGUAUUCAGAAAAAUUCUUUGUUUUUAAAACUAGUUAUAUAUUGUGUUGUAUGUGCCAUAUGAUAAAAAAUUUAGAUAUACUGAAACACUGAUAAGAAAUGCAUGAUGUUUUAUUGCUGCUGAUUUCUGGCAGUGGACUAUUUUCUUUAUUCUCUACUUGUUCUCUCUUUUCUUGAAAUUUUUUUGGGGGGUACCGGGGAUUGAACUCAGGGGCACUCCACCACUGAGCCACAUCCCCAGCCCUGCUUUGUAUUUUAUUUAGAGACAGGGUCUCACUGAGUUGCUUAGCGCCUCACUGAAUUGCUGAGGCUGGCUUUGAACUCGCUAUCCUCCUGCCUCAGCCUCCCAGGCUGCUGGGAUUACAGAUGUGUAUCACUGUGCCCGGCUUCUUGAAUUUUCUAAAGGAACUUUUUUUUUUCCAGAAAAGCAAGUUAUGUCCCCCAACAGUGGGUUGUAGACCUUAAUUGCGAGUCAAACGUUAAUUACUCGUUGCCUAUCAAAAAACCCAUUCUCCGUCUCUUUCUUAAGAUAAUCCCAAAUUUAUUCUAGAGUGGCAGAGUGUUGAGAUGAAAGACUAGGGCCCUGUCAACCCCAUCCAACCCCAAAUGUGGCCAUGUAAAUAAGUUCCACAAAAGAAAUAUAAUCAGAAGAUAUUCAGUCGAAAACAUUCCAGGAAAACUUGGUAAAAGCAAGAAAAAAAAAAAAAAACUUUGCCUUCCUUUCCUCCAUCUUGGUUCCUCACAGCAGGUUGGGCCUUGAGCCAGCUUGAGAAUGGGAACCAGCUCAAAGGAUAAUACGGGCAGCUGGUCUCUAGAGGUCCUGGAGCUACCACACCACUCCCACACUGCUUACCUCUUGCUGAAGGAAAGAAAGAGACUUCUAAUUUAUUUAAACCUCAUAUUGAAAUCUCUGUUGGUCCCAGAGAAUGGCAAUUGUUCACUUGGGGAGGCUGUGGGUGAAGGCUUCGCACAGGAGCCUCCUCUGCCUCCAGGUUCCACGGAGGAUGGUGGGGACUUGAGGAAACCCUGCUCAUGAGUGGGUCCUAUUCUGUGCAUAGGCACUGCUCUGCUUGCCAAGGCUCACCUUCCGCUCAGCAGGGCUCCACGUCAAUGUCUAGGACAGGAGGAAAUCCCGAGACCUUCCUGGACCCCACUGGGCCCGGCUGCAUGGCCACUCCAUCUCCAUGCUGGGGGAGUCUUCUCCCUCCUGCGGCUCCCCACCUGGGAUGGUUCUUGGAUCCUGGUCUGUCUCUUCCCUUGUUGCUCUUUUCCUGAAGCACUUGGCUAAUUCUGUGUUCCUGGGAUCAAAUUGGGUGUUUGUCACUUAAGAAAGGAAAAAAAAAAAAGGCUGGUAAAUAUCUGAGCUUCCCAGAAGCACUUAGCUGAAUCUUGGCCACAGUGACAGCCUUUGAGGUCUUGGCCUUGAGCAGACACGUAUCUAGAUCUCCAUAUUUUCUACAGGUGCACAUGUGGGUUUCUCCUCUUUAUUAGCAAUACCUUUGUUUCAGAAUCCAGUGACUCAGAUUCAAAGAAAAGAAAAACUAAAAAUGUUAGAAAACACUUUAAGAGUCUUUCCAAGAUCGAGUCCACACCCGAGAGCUCAGUCUGAUUUAGGCCUGAACUGACUUCAUAAAUAAAGAUAAAUAAUUCAUUUAAUCGAUAUGUCAGCGUAACAAGUUGGCAUGGAUGAACUUCUAAUACAAACAUGCAGAUCAACUGUGUUUUCCUGUUUGAGUUUUGAGGAACAACAUUCUCUAACCUCUCAUCACCUUUAAGCCAUGAGGCUGGAUGAUGAACUGAAGCAUAUGAUUAAAACUAUCCACGGACCGGAAGUGAUGGUCCCGGAAGCUUGGAGAUCCACUGAUAUGGGUCUCUGGCUUCAGCCCACGGGAAGUUCCCCAUGGUGUUCAGGAUGGCAGAUGAGGCUGUCCAUCAUCAGGCCUAGGAUUAUCCUACCCCUUUCUGCCAAAGACCUGUCUUUAACCUCUACACACUGUUUCCUCAGGGGCUGUGGUCUUGGAUGCCUUUGGAUCACUGUUUAGACCUCCCUCGGUCUGGAUGUCAACCCUACCCUUCUGUCCAUUUUGGGAACCUCUGCCCAGUUUGCAAGACCAGCUCCAUUGUCCCAUAUUAUGAAGACAGAAUUAUAAUCCAGAGAGGCAGAGUUGUCCACCUGGGCUCCCAUAGGUGCAGCUAGUUUCAAGGCUACAAAGUCUGGCUCCUUAAUCUGUACUGUGUCAAACUGUGGAUAAAGGAAGAGGGUCUAUAUGCACUGAUUAGGUCACAGUGUUGCUCAUUUAUCCUAUGGGGUUGUUUAAACUGGUUGAAACCUUACUCUUUCAGUUUCUUAAGAUGGAGGUAACUGAGUUGAAACCAUUCUUAUUUCCUAAUAGAGACACUCAGGAGCCAUGAAUUUCCCUCAAAGUGCUGCUUUAGCUGCAUCACACAUAUCUGUGUGUCUGUUCAAAUUUUUAUUCAGUCCAUAGUAACUUCCAGUUUUUAGCUCUUAUUCCUUCUGCUUGGAGUUCAUCAAGAUUCUUGGAUAUACAAAAAUUAAUUUUCAUUAUUUUUUUUUAAUUGCAGUCUUUAGUUCUUCAAAUAUGUCUCUGCUGUUUUGUUUUUUUUUCCCAGCGACUCCAAUCACAUGUUCACAUGUGUUAUAGACCACCUGAAUUUGCCACACAGGUCAUUAAUNAGACAGGGUCUCACUGAGUUGCUUAGCGCCUCACUGAAUUGCUGAGGCUGGCUUUGAACUCGCUAUCCUCCUGCCUCAGCCUCCCAGGCUGCUGGGAUUACAGAUGUGUAUCACUGUGCCCGGCUUCUUGAAUUUUCUAAAGGAACUUUUUUUUUUCCAGAAAAGCAAGUUAUGUCCCCCAACAGUGGGUUGUAGACCUUAAUUGAGAGUCAAACGUUAAUUACUCGUUGCCUAUCAAAAAAACCAUUCUCCGUCUCUUUCUUAAGAUAAUCCCAAAUUUAUUCUAGAGUGGCAGAGUGUUGAGAUGAAAGACUAGGGCCCUGUCAACCCCAUCCAACCCCAAAUGUGGCCAUGUAAAUAAGUUCCACAAAAGAAAUAUAAUCAGAAGAUAUUCAGUCGAAAACAUUCCAGGAAAACUUGGUAAAAGCAAGAAAAAAAAAAAAAACUUUGCCUUCCUUUCCUCCAUCUUGGUUCCUCACAGCAGGUUGGGCCUUGAGCCAGCUUGAGAAUGGGAACCAGCUCAAAGGAUAAUACGGGCAGCUGGUCUCUAGAGGUCCUGGAGCUACCACACCACUCCCACACUGCUUACCUCUUGCUGAAGGAAAGAAAGAGACUUCUAAUUUAUUUAAACCUCAUAUUGAAAUCUCUGUUGGUCCCAGAGAAUGGCAAUUGUUCACUUGGGGAGGCUGUGGGUGAAGGCUUCGCACAGGAGCCUCCUCUGCCUCCAGGUUCCACGGAGGAUGGUGGGGACUUGAGGAAACCCUGCUCAUGAGUGGGUCCUAUUCUGUGCAUAGGCACUGCUCUGCUUGCCAAGGCUCACCUUCCGCUCAGCAGGGCUCCACGUCAAUGUCUAGGACAGGAGGAAAUCCCGAGACCUUCCUGGACCCCACUGGGCCCGGCUGCAUGGCCACUCCAUCUCCAUGCUGGGGGAGUCUUCUCCCUCCUGCAGCUCCCCACCUGGGAUGGUUCUUGGAUCCUGGUCUGUCUCUUCCCUUGUUGCUCUUUUCCUGAAGCACUUGGCUAAUUCUGUGUUCCUGGGAUCAAAUUGGGUGUUUGUCACUUAAGAAAGGAAAAAAAAAAAAGGCUGGUAAAUAUCUGAGCUUCCCAGAAGCACUUAGCUGAAUCUUGGCCACAGUGACAGCCUUUGAGGUCUUGGCCUUGAGCAGACACGUAUCUAGAUCUCCAUAUUUUCUACAGGUGCACAUGUGGGUUUCUCCUCUUUAUUAGCAAUACCUUUGUUUCAGAAUCCAGUGACUCAGAUUCAAAGAAAAGAAAAACUAAAAAUGUUAGAAAACACUUUAAGAGUCUUUCCAAGAUCGAGUCCACACCCGAGAGCUCAGUCUGAUUUAGGCCUGAACUGACUUCAUAAAUAAAGAUAAAUAAUUCAUUUAAUCGAUAUGUCAGCGUAACAAGUUGGCAUGGAUGAACUUCUAAUACAAACAUGCAGAUCAACUGUGUUUUCCUGUUUGAGUUUUGAGGAACAACAUUCUCUAACCUCUCAUCACCUUUAAGCCAUGAGGCUGGAUGAUGAACUGAAGCAUAUGAUUAAAACUAUCCACAGACCGGAAGUGAUGGUCCCGGAAGCUUGGAGAUCCACUGAUAUGGGUCUCUGGUUUCAGCCCACGGGCAGUUCCCCAUGGUGUUCAGGAUGGCAGAUGAGGCUGUCCAUCAUCAGGCCUAGGAUUAUCCUACCCCUUUCUGCCAAAGACCUGUCUUUAACCUCUACACACUGUUUCCUCAGGGGCUGUGGUCUUGGAUGCCUUUGGAUCACUGUUUAGACCUCCCUCGGUCUGGAUGUCAACCCUACCCUUCUGUCCAUUUUGGGAACCUCUGCCCAGUUUGCAAGACCAGCUCCAUUGUCCCAUAUUAUGAAGACAGAAUUAUAAUCCAGAGAGGCAGAGUUGUCCACCUGGGCUCCCAUAGGUGCAGCUAGUUUCAAGGCUACAAAGUCUGGCUCCUUAAUCUGUACUGUGUCAAACUGUGGAUAAAGGAAGAGGGUCUAUAUGCACUGAUUAGGUCACAGUGUUGCUCAUUUAUCCUAUGGGGUUGUUUAAACUGGUUGAAACCUUACUCUUUCAGUUUCUUAAGAUGGAGGUAACUGAGUUGAAACCAUUCUUAUUUCCUAAUAGAGACACUCAGGAGCCAUGAAUUUCCCUCAAAGUGCUGCUUUAGCUGCAUCACACAUAUCUGUGUGUCUGUUCAAAUUUUUAUUCAGUCCAUAGUAACUUCCAGUUUUUAGCUCUUAUUCCUUCUGCUUGGAGUUCAUCAAGAUUCUUGGAUAUACAAAAAUUAAUUUUCAUUAAUUUUUUUUAAUUGCAGUCUUUAGUUCUUCAAAUAUGUCUCUGCUGUUUUUUUUUUUUUUUUUUUCCCAGCGACUCCAAUCACAUGUUCACAUGUGUUAUAGACCACCUGAAUUUGCCACACAGGUCAUUAAUGCUCUGUUUCUUCUUUUCCCUCUGACUUUUAACUCUGUGCUUUAUUUUCAAAAGUUCCAAUUAUUAGACCUUCGAUGUUAUUAAUCUUUUCUUGUGCAAUGUCCAAUAGGCUAUUGGUCCCACCACAUGUAUUCUUCAUCCCAGACAUGGUAGUUUUCAUCUCUACAGGCUUGAUCUGAGUCUUUUUUAAUAUACUGGGUGUCUCCAACAUACUCAUUCUAUAAAAUCAUUGAAUAUAUGAAAAAUGUGAAAAGUACUUACAAUAACUCUUUUAGCAGGCCUGUCCUGUCCACUAAUCUUGUCAUUUCUGAGUCAGUUUCAAUUGAUUGGGUUUUCUUCUCAUUAUGACUCAUAUUUUCCUUCUCCUUUGAAUGUCUGGUAAUUUUUUAUUAGAUGUUAAAUACAGCAAAUAUUUCUUUGUUGAGUUUGGGAUAUUUUAUAUUCCCAUAAAUAUUAUUAAGUGUUACUCUGGGUUGUAGUUAAGUUACUUGGAAAUAGUUGGAUUCUUUUGGAUCUUGCUUUUAGGAUUUAUUAAACAUGACCAGCACUGCAUUUAGCCUGCCUCUGAUUUUGCCCUACUGCUAAGGUGAAUCACUUCUGAACAUCGUACAUGCCGUACCAAGAGCUGUGAGGCUUCUCAUUGUGGUGGGUGGGAAAAGGAAUCUUCCCAGGGCUAUGUGAGCUCUGGGGAUUACUUCCUCUGAUCAUUUUAGAUGGUUCUUCCAAAUUUUGGGUAGAUUUCUCUCAUGUAUGUGCUGAUCAGAACUCAGCUGAAUAAUCAAAAGGAACUCACUGCAGAUCACUGAUUGAUUUCUCUCUCUCUGCUUCUCUCUUUUCUCUGAAAUUCUAUCACAUGAAACCUGGCUACCUUGACCGCUCAGCUUGGGGAAAUGCCAACCUCUGUAAACAAUAAAUGGUGAUGAUUUGGGGCUCUACUUAAUUACUUCCAACCUCUCAGGGAUCCCUGUCCUUCAUCAUCUCAUGGCCCAUUUGUGAAAACUAUUGUUUCUGUUAUUGUUGAAUUAUUUUUGUUUCAUCUGUGGGGGAACAUCCAUUCUCUGUUAUUUCCCUGGCCAUCCGCUGAAGUUGGGUUUAAUUUCCAAUUGGGAAAAUGACUCACAUAGUUAGAAUCUUUGAGAAGAGACUAGAGAUGUAUACUUUUGGUUGUUAAGUAAUCUUAAUAUUCUUGUGAGAUCAUAAUCAAUUUGAUCCUGAGUUUAGGGAGCAUAUCUCUUUGAACCAAUGCUCUCUUUCACAGCAUGAUAGACUAUAUUCUUAUGUUAAAUUGCCUUUACAAGCUAUUUAAUCUCAGACAAAUACCUGAUGUCUCUUAUCUCAAUAUUAUAAACCUGUAAAAUGGGGAUCCUGUCACCUACCUAUUUAAUGGACCUAUCAUUUUAAAUGAGAAAACACACACACAUGCACAUAUAGCCUUUCUCAUAAGAAAUAUGUGGUAAACAGUUGUCUAAUUAGAGGCAAUUAAAACUGCAUACUUUAAAAUGUUAGUGUUCAUUCAUUGUCUCAAAGUCAAUUAUGGUUUGGUUUGAAAUCUAUCCAUAGUUUGUUUUUAAAUCUAUCUAUAAUUUGCACCAAGGAAAACCUGUGGAGAGUCCUCCUUUAACAGGGCAACUGAAACAAUUUUUCUCAUUUCCCUAAUGAUAACUAUGCCCUAAAAAAUACAGAAAUAGAAUAUUUAUUUGAAAUUUAUUUCAAAUAUUUAUUUGGAACAGCAUGUUUCACACAUAAGUGGAGUUAAGACUAAAAUUACAGGAAAAAAGAAAGUUCUCAAUCAGUGGGUUCAGCCCAAGGAGAGGCUGCUGAGAGUGUGGGGAGCACUCACUGUGGGCAGUGCUCACAGCUCCCCUAACUCAGCCUGGGUCCCCUGGACCUAUAGCACACACCUGCUAAGGCACCCCAGUUGCCAGGCCCCUGUCAUCCACCUCAUUGGAGACAGAGUCCCACAGACUUGGCAGGUGUAUUUCCCUGGGACUCCAGGGCCAUGAACUUUAUGAACAGGGAACUUCACUGCCCUGGCAUUGCUGUUUAAGCUUCCAGAGGCUUCCAGUGGCUUCUAGUGGCUUCCAAAUGGUUUGCAGUAGGCUUCCCCACCACCCACUCCCCCCCAUCCUCCAUUGUCUAUUUCAUAAUUAAUGACCUGCAAUAAAAACCAGGUGAUUCGCCUCAUGCCCCUGUAACCAUAGGCAAAGAAGAUGGAGGUGACAUUUCCUUACUUUCCCCAUUUAUUUUCUUUCAAGUGAAGACAAAAUUCUCCUUGAAUUCUCACUGUCUUAGAAAUGCUUGGUGAUGUCUGUACCCCCUUGGCUUCCUCCCUCAUCCAUAGCAAGGGACCUCAGAAGCCAUGCAGUGGCUCUGGAGUCUGGGUGGGGUGUUGAGCAAUUGAUAUGAUCUGAGCUAAUUGAACUUGGAGUUGAAAUUCAUCAGUUAUGCUUCCUAUUUGAUUACCUCCUCGCCAAAACCAGUGUGUGGAAGGAGUCCUGCUCCACAGCACAGCGAUGACUGGGGACCUCCCAACAGGGAGACUGCAUCCAGAGCAAAAGAGUCUGCAGUCAGCAGAGAAGGCAUUUGCCUUGAACCAGGAGAAGCACAAGUUUGACAAAACUGCCCAGUCCCUAGGCUUUGCAGAUGCUGGCCUGUGUCUGGCCCGAGGACUUCCUGAGUUCCCAGCCUAAAGUUGUUGGAGGCGUGACUCUAUUUCUGUUAAAUACCCUAAUUUUAUUUCACACAAUGUGUGUUGGUUUCAUCUGCGUGCACACAAAAGGCUCUAAAGGCACAUCGUAAAAAAGAGUUGAUUGAAAUCUAAAGCGAAAAGGACACCAAGACACAAAUGGGAAUCUCCAGCAGGCCAAAGACUCUGUCAUGAAAUGAUUCCCUUUGCACCAAAGGCAACCCCCAGGAAGUGGACUUACAUGUCCAUUUUUGCAGAGGAAUAAACGGGUGCUCAGAUAAUGGAGGUGGUUUGGCCCAAAUCAUAGCCUUACUAAGUUGUUGGGAUGAACUCAAAGCCGGGUCACCUCUACUGAAAGCACUCAGAUGCCACACGACUCCUUCAUGAAUACAAAGGUGAUGCGGGAUAUCUGGCUUCCAAAUCCCUUGACCACAACUCAUGUUUGUCUUAUAGACAGAUCCUAGGGCCGUGCUCAUCAAACUAAUGCCAAUGGCGCCCUGAGCGUCAUUCAGAAGGAGCCAGACAGGGUGCAGGCCUGCAAGGACAGCCUCUCUCAUCCAUGUAUAAUAAGCAAUUAGGUAAUUUUCUUGUUAAUUCAAUCAGAGAAGCAGAGAAAUAUUGCAACUCCUUGGAUUAAGGACCAAAUUAAAUUUUUUUUUUACACUGUUGACCUUUGUCAGUUUCAUGUAAGAGGAACUGAUGAUGAGCCACUGAUCUAGCAAAUUAGCUUUGCAGAGCUGUUGACAGGGUCAGCAGGAAAUGAAACCUGCUUUAACAAAGAGGAGCUGGAUUCUUAGGUGUAGGAUUCAGUGUUGGAGGCUUUCGCCAGGAGAUGUUCAGAGGCAGUGUGGAAGCAGACUCUAGGAGUACAGAGGGUUGUUUUUUUUUUUUUUUUAUCUUGAGAAAUUUAACUCUUUCCUUCUCUUUCGAGAACCAGUAAAAUGGAAUAUGGAGUUGGAUUCUCCAGCCCUUAGUUCAACCCUGAACUUCUAGGCUGCAUGUCCAAAGCAGUGAGACUACAUUCAGUGUGCGAGCAAGAAAACUGAGAUUUAGAAAUAUUUUGUAGUGUACGGUAAACUCUUUCCCCAAUACCUUGGUUAGAAUUCAAGAACACUCUGGAGAAUGUAGGGUGCAGGAAUAACUCUGAUGUUGCCUGGAAUCCUGUACUUGAUAAUUUCCAACCACAAGUUUACCACAGUCCCAGUCUUUUUUUAAAAUUAUCAAUUAUUUUUUUUUUAGUUUUUUAAAUUAGUUAUACAUGACAGUAGAAUGCAUUUAUAUACUGUGAUAUGUCACACAUAGAUGGAGUAUAAUUUCUCAUUUUUCUGAGUGUACAUGUUGCAGAAUCACAUUGGCUGUAUAGUCACACAUAUACAUACAGUAAUAAAGUCUGUUUCAUUCUACUCUCUUUCCUAUUCCCACAUCAGCUCCCCACCCCUCCCAUCACUUCCCUCCACCUAAUCUGAGGUAAUGCUAUUCUUCCCUAGUGCCCCCCACCUUAUUGUGAAUUAGCAUGCACAUAUUAGAGAAAACAUUCAGCCUUUGGUUUUGUGAGAUUGGCUUAUUUCACUUAGCAUGAUAUUCUCCAACUCCAUCCAUUUACUGGCGAAUGCCAUAAUUUCACUUUUCUUUAAAGCUGAUAAUAUUCCAUUGAGUAUAUAUACCACAUUUUCUUUAUACAUUCAUCUAUUGAGAGACACCUAGGUUGGUUCCAUAGUCUAGCUAUUGUGAAUUGAGCUGUUAUAAAUAUUGACGUGGCUGCAUUACUGUCCCUUGGGUAUUAAACCUAGGAGUGGGAUAGCUGGGUAAAAUGGUGGUUCCAUUCCCAGUUUUCUGAGGAAUCUCCAUACUGCUUUCCAUAGUGGUUGCAACAAUUUUCAGUCCCACCAGCAGUGUAUGAGGGUCACUUUUCCCCCACAUCCUCGCCAACAUUUAUUGUUGUCUGUAUUCUUGAUGAUUGCUAUUCUUGACAGGAGUGAGAUGAAAUCUUAGUGUAGUUUUUAAUUACAUUUCUCUAACUGCUAGAGAUGUUGAACACUUUUUCACAUAUUUGUUGAUGAUUUCAUUUUUUUUCUGUGAAAUGUCUGUUCAGUUCCUUAGCCCAUUAAUUUAUUGGGUUAUUUGGUUUUUUGGUGUUAAGUUUUUUGAGUUCUUUAUAUAUCCUAGAGAUUAAUUCUUUAUCAGAGGUGCAUGUGGUAAAGAUUUUCUCCCAAUCUAUAGGCUAUUUCCUCAUGUUAUUGAUUGUUUUCUUUGCUGAGAAAAAAAGCUUUUUAAUUUGAAUCCAUCCCAUUUAUUGAUUCUUGAUUUUACUUCUUGCACUUUAGGAGUCUUGUUAAGGAAGUCAGAUCCUAGGUUGACAUGGUAAAGAUUUGGGCCUAUUUUUUUCUUCUACUAGGUGCAGGGUCUCUGUUUUGGUGCCUAAGUCUUUGAUCCACUUUGAGUAGAUUUUUGUGCAGGGUCAACAUUUUAAAAGCUAUAUAUGCUAAACCCAAGGCCAGCAUCAUUCUAAAUGGAGAAAAAUUGAAAGCAUUUCCUCUAAAAACUGGAAUAAGACAAGGAUGUCCUCUUUUACAUCAUCCUUGAAAUUAUAGCCAGAGCAAUUAGACAAAAGAAAGAAAUUAAAGGGAUACAAUUAGGUAAAGAAGAAUUCAAACUAUCACUGUUUGCUGAUGACAUGAUUCUAUAUCUAGAAGACCAAAAAGUUCAUCCAGAAACUUUUAGAACUAAAAUAAAUGAAUUUAGCAAAGUAGCAGUAUAUAAAAUCAACACCCAUAAAUCAAACACAUCCCUAUACAUCAGUGAUGAAUCCAAUGAAAGAGAAAUUAGGAAAACUACCCCAUUCACAAUAGCCUUUAAACAAUAAAAUACCUGAGAAUCAAUCUAAAAAAGAGAUAAAAGACCUCUACAAUGAAAACUACAGAACAUUAAAGGAAGAAAUUGAAGAGAACCUCAGAAAAUGGAAAUAUCUCCCAUACUCCUGGACAGGCAGAAUUAAUAUUGUCAAAAUGGCCAUACAGAUUUAAUGCAAUUUCUAUUAAUAUCUCAAUGACAUUCUUCAUAGAAAUAGAAAAAGCAAUGAUUAAAUUUAUUUGUAAAAAUAAGAGACCCAGAAUAGCUACAGCAAUCCUUAGCAAGAAAAUUGAAGCAGGAAGCAUCACAAUACCAGCCUCCAGAGCUAUAGUAACCAAACUAUACUAUAGAGCUAUAGUAAGCAAAACAGCAUGGUACUGGCACCAACAUACGCUUGUAGACCAAUGGUAUAGAAUAGAGGACACAGAGACAAACCCACAUAAAUAUGGUUAUGUCAUACUAGACAAAGGUGCCAAAAACAUUCACUGGAGAAAGGGCAGCCUGUUAAACAAAUGGUGCUGGCAAAACUGGAAAUCCAUAUGUAGCAAAAUGAAAUUAAACCCCAGUCUUCAUGUGGACUUGGAGGAUGUGUAACUGAGUUCUAGCCAAUGGUUGUUGGUAGAGGUGAUUUGUAGCAAUUCCUUCCUGGUCUAUAAAAUACUCCCACAAACAAUUUUCCUUGAUAUUUUAUUUUUCCUCCUGGGGAAGAUAAAUGCAAAACUUUGGAAGUUUCAUGUAAAAGGUAGGGAACUACAAGGUAGAAACUUUCUGAACCCCUGAAUCACCUGAUGGAGGAGAGCCAUGUGCCAAUUGAGAAUAUUUAUUUUGGAUUUGUGCAACAAAAAUAUAAUAAGUAGAAAAUACUACUACUAAUAAUUACAGUAUGCUGGAGUCAUUAUCAUAUUUAGGAGUGUCCACUAGACUAAUGUAAACAGCUGAGUGACAUGAAGUUCAGCAGACGUUCUUUUACACUGAAGCAAGGUCCUUUGAUGUGACUGGUGAGUUUAUGUGAUAGACUGUGAUACACUAUAUUUGGGUCCAACACUAGUCUAGAUGUCACCAGACAUGUUUUUUAGAUAGGACUAACACUUACAAUCAGGUGACUUUCAGUAAAGCAGAUUUCCCUCCAUAUGUGGGUGGGCCUUGUCCAACCAGUUGAGACCCUAAGAGCAAAGACUGAGGUUUCCAAAGGAGAACAACUACGCCUCUGGACCUCAACUUAGAAAUUCUGCCUGUUUCCAAUCUUUGGAUUCAAGAAUGAGACACUCGUCCUAAUCUCCAGCUUGUGACUUGCUCUGUGGAUUUUAUAGUUGCCAGUCCUCACAUUUGUGUGGGUGAAUUCUGAAAUAAGUGUAGUAUAGUGUGUGUGUGUGUGUGUGUGUGUGUGUGUUUAGAGAGAAAGAGGGACAGACAGACAGAGAGGUGGGAAGGUUCCAUGUCCACAGUGAAGUGCUGCUCUAAUGUCAUCUUCUGGAAAUUCUCAGGAGGAGAAGUGGAGGGAAGUCUAGAGCCCAUGGCCAGUCUAGAGGACUCCUAGACCCAGUCCAGACACUGACAGAAGGCCCGUGUGGUAUCCUGGGACAGACACACAGCAGGACUUGGGUGUUCACUGUGCCUCCCAAUGGAGGGCGAUGCUCUUCUGCCCCACAGGCACCAGGCCUGACCCUCCCACCCAUCAUCUGGAGAGACCUGAUCAGAAGGGGUGAAGGCCACAUCCCACAGAAGCUUUGGGAGGCAACAAGGAGUCUCCUGUUUGUCCCCUUCUGAGGCACGGCCAUAGUGUUCUAGGUGCAGUCUGUACCAUCACCCUGGAUCCCAGGGACAAGGAUACCAGGGGCCAGAGCACAGCCAUGAGCUUGCUACUGAAAGACACACAGAAUUCAUAGUGAGUUGUUACUGCAGCACAUAUUAACUUAUCCUGACUCAUCUGUAUUUCAAGAUCUACAACUGUGGGGUCGCUCAGUUCAAAUCCUGGUUCCCACCACUUUCUAGGGGUAUCUCUUGGAGAGACCAUUUAGCCUCUCCGUUGCUCAGCUUCCUUCUCUGAAGAGGGGUGAAAUAGAGGAUUCCUCUAGGGUGGUGAGGAUUCAGUUAGUUGACACCUUGUAAAGCUCUAAUUUGUCAUGGGCACAUAAUAUCAAUAGUCACUGGGGGAUGGGGCUGGGGCUCAGUGGUAGAGCGCUAGCCUAGCAUGUGUGAGGCCCUGGGUUUGAUCCUCAGCACCACAUAAAAAUGAAUUUUUUAAAAAAAGAUACAAUACCUUUCUGUCCAACUACAAAUAAAAAAUAAAAAAAAAAAAAACAGUCACUGAUGUUCAUAUUGGCUGCGUUGUCUCUUGCUCCUAAAAACUUCUCCUCUGGUGACCCAGACAGGCCUCCCCUGGGACAGGAAGUGAGGUCUUUUUACAGGCAUUUCUGAUCACCACUCUACAGAACAUCCACCAACUCAGGGCUGGGCUGGGAGGGAAAGAGGUGCUUCCACUCAGUGCCAGGUAAUGCAGAUUUUAGGGUCUUCAGAGCUUACUUUUCUCUGUCUCUGCUUCUGUCUCCCCGUCUUUCAUAGACCUUUAAAAGUGUGAGAACUACUUUCAGCUGAAGGGACAUGCAAGAUCAUGGCUAGAUUUGGCGGCUGAGCAGAAUUUCCUGAUCCCCGGUCUAACCAGUCCUGUUUCUGCUGAUUUUCCUCCCCUGAGAUCUCCAUUCUCCUCCACUCUGGGAGGAGCCCAGGACCUCCUUUCACACAGGUAGUCGCUGAGGCAGAGGGGAGGCAGGGCUCCUGGGCACCUCACUUUCCCUGAGAGCCUCCCAGAUGGCUUCACCUGCCACAUCCUUGGGCAGUGCAGGAGACACAUUCUUUACUGGAGACUUUAAGUACAGCUAACGGAGCUCAUUCUUGAAGGAAAAGAAAACUCUUUGUUUAUAUGAACGAAUAUUGAUGAGCCACAUUGCAAAAUAACAAGGACUCCUGGUGUGGGUGCUUAGCAAGUCCUGCUGGAUAGGGAUGCCACCUCGCUGGCGUGAAUUCUGUACUGUCCCUGGGAUGGGCUUUGGUGGUCCACAGAGGCCAUGCGUGUGCUGGAUGAGGGCUGUCUGAGCGUGUGCAUGAACCUACAACAGGAAGUCCCACUGCAGGUUAAUCCCCGGUCUCUCUUUCCAGGGCUUAAUGCCAAGUACCAGUCUCCUGAGUUCUGCAACAAGACAAUAGGUGACAUGAGCAGGUGCCUCCGUUUCUAUGAGACGGCUCCUGUGUUGGCCUGGGCUCUGCCUCCACAGGUGGGGGCCCGGCAGUCAUCCGCACUGGCUGAAUCUGACUAUUUUGCCAUCUCUCCUGAUAAUGUUGGACAACUCAGCUCCUGCCUCUUCUGGUCCUUGGCAUUUGCUUUCUUGCUUGUCCAUCUGUUAUUUGUCUUCCUGGCUUUGUUGCCUGCCCGCCUUUAGUAUAUUUUUUUCCCUUUUCUUCUCAGUAAUUUUGCAAUCCCAGUCUCCUGUUUGAUUUUUCCAUCUUGCUCCCUUUUGGGGGACAUGCUGUGUGAGAAGUUCUAGAACUGGAGAGAAACACCAGACCUUACUUUCCCAAAAGCUUCCUGGGUUUCCAUCUGACGCAUGCGUCUAUAGAGGGCACAGGCUGGACAACUGUACGCCCAUGAAGCCACAAAAUGAAUGUGGCCCAUUUUCCCAGAGCAAUUUUAUAUCACAAGGAUUGGAAAUAUUUUUGCUAUCAUAAAUAGAGUUCCACUACAGAAAAGGUCACCUUUUUUUUUUUUUGCUCUUUUAAAAAUAAAUAAAUACAAGAACAACUGCUGAAUGCGUCUUUGGAUUUGUUGCAAGUUCUGUCUGCCCUGACAUUAAGGUACUGGGUAGGAAGAUCUGAGAAAGUGAUUAGGCUGGAAUAAGUGUGUGUGGCGGGGAGGGGGAUGAGAAGGCCAAUGCUUCCGGUGUCCAGGGACAUAUUUUAUCCUCUUUGGCCUUGAGGUUUCUCCCACAAGAGGCCUUCAACUCUGGCCUGCCUGACGGGAAGCCCAGGGCUUUGUGUCUGGUUCAUGGGGUCCCUCUUUGGCCUGGCCUGGCCUGCUGCCUCAGUGUCUGCCCUCUGACCAGGUGUCCUUUGCACGGGACACCUGUGGCUCUCCUCAGAAUUGUGUCCAUUUUAUUCCUCUUGAGGUAGGAAACUCCACCAGCAGGAGCGGGUGGGACAGAGCCCAUGGUCCUGAGGGAGCUCUACCUGGUGGGUUAGAGCAGGAGCACACAAGUUCCCUGAGUCACCCUGACUGAGAAGUGUCACUGUGGCUCCUAUUUGAAAUAGAUGCUGAAGCAACAUAAAGGUCCUGGGAUUCACUGCAGACACACUGCACCCGGCCUUCUUCACACGCCACUAAGUUAAUCCUAACAUGUGAAGCCACAGUAGUAUUGACCCUUCGACAAAACCAAGGUUGAAAGGGACAAAGAGAACAGGCAAUGUUAUCACAAUUUUAUUAGGAUCAUCAUUUUGGAAAGAGACAAAAAUGCAAGUUGAGUGUCCUUGUCUACUUUGGAGGCAUUAUUCUUGGGCGUGGUGAGAGGGUGAAUCGUUUAUACCCUCCAGAAUCCCUGUGUUGAAGUCCUAACUCUGGUUCCUUAGAAUGGGACCAUAUUUGGAGACAGGUCUUUCAAGGGAUAAUGAAGUUAAAGCCAGAUCAUCAGGUGGGCCCCAAGCCACUAAGACUUGGAAUCCUAAUAAGAAGAGGAAAUCAGGACACAGAUGCACCCUCAGGGACAUCCAUGUGAAGAUGCAGAAAGCAGAUGGUACCCAUGUGCCAAAGGAGGGGGCCUCAGAAGGAUCCAACCCUGGAACACCUGGACCUCAGACUUCCAGGCUCCCGGACUAUGAGGACAUGAAGCGCUGAGGUUCGAGCCCCCUAGUCUGUGGUCGGUUUAUUACAGCACCUGUAGGAAACAGACCCACAGGACAAAGCCACCUAUCAUCUCUCGACCUGUCUAUCUUCAAUCAAUCAUUUAUUAUGUAUCUAUCUACUCUUUCUUCAGAUAUAGUAGAGGUAUACGGACAUUUAUUUCAAACAUAAAAUAGUCUAAAAUAUUUAUUCUUUCCAACCUUACUCUUCUAAAACAAUACCUGUUUUAAUGGCAACAUGUGAUCUUGAAAACUUUAUCCAUCUUUGUGCUUGAAAUAUUUCUACACAGUUGUAAUCAUGGCAUAGAUAUGUAAUUGUGUUCCAAUAUGUUUCCUUAUCUUUAAUUAUUAAAUGGCUAUAAAAAUUUACAAAUAUAAACAAUAUUGGUAGAUUGCAUACUAUUCUUUGUAGUAAUAUAUUGAAAUUCUAUUAUGUAUGAAAUUAUUAUUUUUAUGGGUUCCUAAUAUUAACAGAAUCAUUUUAGAAAUUGUACAUAGAGGAAGGAUAUAAUUUAAAGAAGUAAUUUUAAAAUCACUGAUAAUUUUGCCAUCCAGAGAUAUUUGGUUUGGAAAUUAGACUGUUAAUAUUUUCAUUCUCAAACUGUGUGAAUACCCACAUACACAUAUCAACAUAUAAAUACUUCAUAUGCUUUUCCAUAAAUUUAUAUGGACAAGACACUAAGCAUUUACCUGUUAUCUCUGAGGCAAAUAUUUUCCUAGACUUAUGUUGUUAUUUUCGUUUGAAGUUUUCAUUUUGUAGAUUCAACCAGACAGAAUAUUGCAUAAGAUUUUUCGGCCCCUCUCAUUUUUAUGCUCAAAAUUAUGCCUUUACCCUGAGCUUUGAGAAGCAUUUACCAAGAUACUUUGAGAGUUAGGGACUGCGGGGCGUAUCUCCCAGGGCUCCCGGGUUGAAACCCUAAUCCUCUGUUGGAUGGUGUUGGGAAGUGGGGGCUUGGAAGGUCACCAGGGUGGAGCCCCCUGACAGGACUUGGGUCUGACACUAAUGCACAGCCAGGUCAGCACCUGCCCCCCUCAGCCAUGAGAGGACCCAGCAGGAAGUUGUGUAUUCGCACAAGAGGAAGAAGGCCCACCGAGCCCAGCCCUGAGCUCACUCCAGCAUCCAGAAUGGGGAGCAGAAUGGGGAGCUCCUUCUCCCUGAUCCCCUUCUUCUAUUUUACUGGUCUCCCUCCCUCAGGCUGUGGUACCAUAUCAGCAGCACGGAUUGACCAGAACAGCAUGCUAUUGUUAUUGUUUUUUUUUCUUUUCACCUAAUUAUUUUAUCCCUCUGGAAUUAUUUUGAGCAGAGUACCUUAUGAAUAUCCUGACUCACUGCUUCCAGGGAGUUCAUAUCUAGUCCCCACACUGUGUAUCGAGGUGUCCUUCUCUUCUGCAUCAGUCUUUCUAUUUCUGCAAACUCCGUGACUUAGAAUAGCAGCCUCUCUGUAGCUCCCUGCUACAGAGUCAGAAGCCCAGGGAUGGCGUGAUUCUGUUCGCCAAGAGCCCACAGCUCUCCAGGCUGAGGUCACGGCCCCACGGGGUACAUCCCCCGUCCAGCUCAGUCAGGGAGAGAUCUGCCCCUUUUUCCCUCAAGUCCUUGGCAGAACCCAUUUCCUUGCCCUCAGAGGACUGAGGUCCCACUUCCUAUCUCCGAGCUCAUCCUCUGAGGAUCACUGUCUGCACUAGAGGCUGCUGUCCAGCCCCCACCACCCAGUCCCCUCCAGGAUCCCUCUCAUGUUGUGGACCUUCAGGAAGGACCAGGGCACUUUUAAGAUCUAGUCUGAUUGGAUCAGGCCCAGGCAGAGUAAACUCACUUAUUCUCAAAUUAUUAACCUCAACUAAUUAGGAAACUGAGUUAAGUUUGUAAAAUUCCUUUGACCUUUUCCUAUGAGGUCACCUAAAGAAUGGGGUACGAGUCAUUGUAUUUUCCAGUCUUGAAGAUGCUCGGUGGAGUGGGGGAGAUUAUGCAGGCCACAUACACCAGGGGCUAAAAACUGUGGUGCCAUUCCAGGAUUCUGUCUGCCCUUCCUCGCUUCUUUACCAGGUGUUACUGUACUUAGUUUUUGUUGACUUUUUGUUGUUGUUCAUUUUUUUUUAAAUUGCUCAUUUUCUUUAUUUUUAAAAUUUUGAUUUGUUAUACAUGGCAGCAGAAUGCAUUACAAUUCAUAUUGAACACAUAGAGCACAAUUUUUCAUAUCUCUGGUUGUACAUGUCUUCUUACAUGCACUUAGGGUAAUGACGACCAUCACAUUCCACCGACUUUCCUGCCCCUCUGCCUCCCCCCUUUCCUAUUCCCCUUUCCUAUCUGGAAUUCAUUUAAUCCUCCCAUCCCCUCACCAGCACUUAUGGAUCAGCAUCCUUAAAACAGAGAAAUCAUCUGGCAUUUGUUAUUUUGGGAUGGGCUAACUUCACUUAGCAUUAUAUUCUUCAGCUUCAUCCAUUUACCUGCAAAUGCCAUGAUUUCAUUCUCUUUUAAUGCCAAAUAAUAUUCCAUUGUAUGUAUAUACCACAUUUUCUUUAUCCAUUCAUCCACUGAAGGGCAUCUGGGUUGGUUCCUCAGUUUAGCUAUUGUGAAUUGUGUUGCUGUAAACAUUGAUGUGGUGGGUCCCUGUAGGAUGCUGUUUUGUUCUACAUACUGUGACCUGCUAAGGCCAUCCUUGAAACCACCCUGUACUGUUUUCAUUUUUACAGAAAUAUAGAAUGUUCUGUGAAGUAGUUAGGCUAGGUUCUCCACGAUUUAUAUUGUCCCCAAAUAGUGGUAUGUGCAGUAGCCCCCCCCCCUUAUCUGUGCAGGAAAUGUCCGAAGACCACCUCGAAGUAGGAAACUGUAAAAGCUCACAAAUCCAAUAGUUUCAUUCAGUUUUCACCUUAGCUGAGCAUCUACCACACACUUUGGUCAUGACUUUUGCAGUUUGAAGUACAUUAAAACUAGCACAAUUUUUUUUUCUCCCAGUACUUUUUAUUUAUAUUCCCCUUUUAUUGGUGAAUUAUAAUUCUACAUAACAGUGGGAUUAUAAUAUAUUCAUAUAUGCACACAAUAAAACAGGAUAGUUUGAUCAAUUUCAUUCCCCAGUACCUCCCCUUUCUCUCCCCUCCCUUUCCCAAUCCCCUUCUUCUAUUUUACUGGCCUCCCUUCUAUUUUUUUAAAUUUGUUCUAAUUAGUUGUACCUGAUAGUAGAAUGCAUUUUGACAUAUUGCACACAAAUGGAGCACAACUUUUCAUUCCUCUGUUGUACAUGGUUCAGAGUCACACUAGUAGUGUAAUUGUACAUGCAUAUGGGGUAAUAAUGUCUGUCUCAUUCUACUGUCCUUCCCAUCCCCACAGCCCUACCCCGUCCUUCACUCCCCUCUACACAAUCCAAAGUCCCUUCAUUCCUCUCUACCCCUCCCCCCCCCACUAUGCAUCAGCAUCUGCUUAUCAGUGAAAAUAUUUGGCUUUCGUUUUGAGGGAGAUUGGCUUAUUUCAUUUAGCAUGAUGUUCUCUAGUUCCAUCCAUUUAUCUGCAAAUGCCAUAAUUUCAUUUUUCUCUAAGGCUGAGUAAUAUUCCAUUGUGUAUAUGUGCCACAUUUUCUUUAUCCAUUCAUCUGUUGAAGGGCAUUUGGUUGGUUCCAUAGUUUAGCUAUUGUGAAUUGACUAGCACAAAUUUCUUUCUCCUUCUUCACAAUCCCAUACAUAGAAGAUUAAUUCUUAUCAUAAAUCUUAACAGUCUCAGCAUACAGUGUUUUUUUUUCUGUCCUAAUAAGUUAAGCACUUUCAACUUUUCAUUAAAGGAAGCACUUUACACUUUCUGUUUGGCAUAUCUAAAUCACCAACGUCUCUAUGCUUGCACUUUGUGGCCAAUAUUAAUAAAUAAGGGUUACUUAAACAUAGAAUUACAAUAUCAUCAACAGUUGAUCUGAUGAACAAGAUGAUUAUUAAGCAAUUAAUGUGUAGGUAGUGUAUACACUGUGUAUACACUGGGCAAAGUGUGACUCACAUCCCAGAUGGAAUGGAGCAGGACAGUGCAAGAUCUCAUCACACUACUCAGAAGGAGGCACAGUUUAAAACUUGCCAAUUAUUUCUAGGAUUUGCCAUUUAACCUUUUCAGACUUUGGUUCAUUGCAAGUAACUGAAACCACAGAAAGGAAACCAUGGAGAAGAAUGGACUAUUGUAUCCCCUUUUAUUCAUAUAUUUAUUCUCUCAAAUGAACUCUGGCAUUACUUUUAAAAGCUCCUAUCCCCAAUUUAGAGACUGAGCCGGUUACAUCUAUGUAUGACUUCAGGGCAGAACUUACACCUCUACAGAAUGCCGCCUUUCUAUACCUAUCAUGCUAUUUCUUUCAAAUUUAAUUGAACACACAUAUGUUGAGGGUCUGCUCUUCAUUAGACACAGAGGUGAGCAGGAAGAAUCAGGCUGCACAGAGCUUUUGUUUAAGUGAAGGAGACAGAUGGUAAAUAGGCAAAUAAGUGAAUGAAAUCAUUCAAAUAAUGCUAAGUGUUAGGAAGGACAGGCCAAAGAAGCAGAAAGUGACCUGGGGCCAUAGUGGGCAUGAGGGAUGGGAAAAGCCACUUUGGACACUGCGAUGUGGGUUUUUUUCUCUGUUCUCCAGCAGACACCAAUUGGAUAUCCUACAGCGGAGCUCCACUCGGACAGCCCCUAUUGAUCCUGAAUUGUUCUUGGACCCCAAAGGCUUAGGGCUCAGCUCCACGAGCCCUCCCUCCAUUUGCAGACCUAUGGCAAGGAGAGAGUUGCCCACAUCUUCUUUUCGAUUUGGCUGAUAGAUCGGAGGAUCCUACAAGCCCCUCCUCGUGGUCAAUUAAUUUGUCAGAGCGGCUCACAGAACUCAAGGGAACCCUCAUGUUUGCCAGUUUGUCAUGAGAGGAAUUACAGAGGGUGCAGAUGAAUGUCCAGAGGGGGACCUGGAGAGGCAAAGCAUGGGGGAGGGUUCUGAGCAUCCUCUCUGGGCUCUCUGUCCUCCAGGUACUCAGUGGUCCUGAGGGUACCAGAGCCUUGUCCUUCUGAACCUCACUGAGGUGCCGUUGCAUGGGCAGGAAUGAUUAUGUCACUGGCUGCUGGGGAUCAACCCAGCCUUCCUCCCUUCCCCUUUCUGGGGUUGAGGGAGGCUCAGACUUCUAACUCUAAUCACAGGGCUGGUUCUUGGCCACCAGUCUCUCUCCUGGUGCUCUAUGGAACCUCCAGUCACGGGUCACCUCUUUAACACACAGUAAGAAGCUAAUCACUCAAAAGAUUCUAAGGAUUUUAGAAGUUGUGUACAAGGGAAAAGAGGGAAGUCUAAAUAUACGUAUAUUAUAGCCCAGCCAGUUGGUGUCUGCCUAUAGUUCCAAAUACAUGGGAGUCUAAGGCAGAAGGGGAUCACAAGAUUGAGGCCAGCCUGGGGCACAUAGCAAAACCCUGUCUCAAAAUCGAACAAAACUAAAAAAAGUAAGUGAAGCAGGGGUGGAGGGGACUGGGGAUGUGUCUCAGCAGGAGAGUGCUUGCUUAGCAUGCUCAAGGUCCUGGGUUCAAUCCUAGCACCACAAAAAGUAAAGAAGAAAUAUGAACAUUUUCUUAUAACCAUAAUAUCACAGGAGACAAUUUUGGAUAAAGAAAUAAGAAAUUCUAAGACGAUAUUUGAUCUGGAUGCAGAUAAACUCUCAAUCAGCCAUAAAAUCAGAAGGGAGAACAUUUGGGGUAGAGGGGAUCUUCAGUGCCAUUGCCCAAGAAUGGUACAGAAUGACAUCCAGCGGAUGGCUGAGACGGAGCUUGUAGAUCAAGUCCUUGCUGCAUACCUGGGUAGUGGGUUUAUGCCACGUUCCCCAGAUAGGCCCUGCAUAUGCAGGACUUCCAGACAGUGUGAUUUUUAGCUUCCAGAUAGAAUGAGUUAUUUUUUUUUUCACAUUUCUAAAUGAUUGCUGCUAAUAUGUAGGGAAGCCAUUGGUUUUUAAGGUAUUUCUUUUGAGAUGGCCACAUUACAUAUCUGUGCUUAAUCUCCCUCCUUUUGUUUCAGUUUAUGUACCAGUGAAUUCCUCUUCCUCCUGAGGCCGACUCAGACCAAAUGCAACAAUGUUGCAAAAUAAUGUGAAUUUUGCUUCUUCAUUUCAAAGAUCAUAUCAUUAUACUUUUAAUUUGUUUCAUAUUUUAACACUAGUUUUAUUUUUGAACACCUUAGUGGGAGUUAUUCUUGUCUUUUGUACAAAGUUUAUAUUUUGGUUUAAGAUAGAGAGUGUGGUUCUGUUUUUUUUUUUGGCCAAUGCUAUACUGCUAUAGGUAGCACCCCGAGGUACCCUUCCCAUUAGUAGUCUUCUCUACUUGGAUGUGUUAUAAAUAAAAACACUUUAGAGUGUUUCAAAGCUUAUUUUUGUUCUGGAUCAUUUUCUUUAAAUAUGUGAAGCGGAGAAAGAUUUUAGGUUUGUUAAGAGGGGACCUUAGCACUGUGGUGGGGGUCAUUGACUCUGGCCAAUGUCAACUAGCUGUUGAUUGGCAAUGACCUGUCCAGGAGUUUGUUUCAUAAACAAUAUUCAAUUGUCAAGGAGGGAAGUUCUAUGCAAACGCUCUCUGUUGCCAACACACUGGGGAGAGAGUUAGUGAGCCCGAAGACGCACCGCCUGUCUCUUCUGCCCUGGCGGCUUCUUUCCCUCGGUCCACUCUCUACCCCUGUGCCCACAGUCUCCUCCGACUGAACAGACCUUGUGGAGAGCAAAUAUUUUAUAUUUAUCCUGAUUGUGUCUUAGGUACACCAUACCAGCCUGCCAGUCUCCCCCCUUCCUCCCAGCCACAACACACCAAAUCUCUCUUGUAAAUUGUAUGGAUUUACGUCCAAACUCUGCCAUAUUUUUAAAUAUCUAUUUGGAUGCUAUUUCUCUAGAAUUUAUUAUUUCUGUGUCAUUUCACAAAGAAUGGGCUCUAUGCAAAGUGAAAUGUAAAACUGAAGGAAGGAUAUGGAAAAUUUAAAGCACAAAUGUCAUUUCAGUUCAUCUUCUGUAUCCAGAGGGUUCUGUGAAACUGAUGUGGGCAGGCGGUGCAGACAGCAGGAGCCGCAUGGCUCUCACGGCUUCGUGGGUCCUGGCUCAGCACUGCCCUCCUAACACCGAGCACCUUGGGGUUGGGGGCAUUAUUUUCCACAUGAAUAUUAAGAGUGUUCAGGUAAGUACCCCUGCUGCUCUGGCAUUGACCUUUGACACAAAGUCCAAUGAACACACCUGCAUCUGGAUCUGACUGGCCAGCUUGGAGCUCAUCUCUGACUCAAAAGCAGCUUCUGGGGAAACGCAGUUCCUUCCUGGGAAGUUGGAAUAAUAGCACUGACCACAGUAGACUCCUUUGGGUGAUGUUGGCCAAAUAAUAUGCAAUUUGUACAGAGUGAUGCUUUAUAAGCCUUUGAUAAAUUCCAACUAUUAUAAAUUUGAUUAUCAUUUCUUAGGUCUCCAAAAUAGAACCAUUGUCACUUAUUGAAUGUUUUUGGCUCCUACUUAGGCUGUGGCUUCAGGGACCAUCCCCCAUUCCCUCCUUUGCCCUUGACUUGGAAUCCAGCUAGCUCCCCAGCGAGUACCCUAGGUGAACCCCAAGCGACUUCCUUAAAUCAGCCCUUGCCUGGUCCAUGGCAGCCCCCAAAUUCUGCUGCUGCUGAGGGCCAUCUGGGAGGGGCUCCUCUGGACCACUUAGUAGGAGCAGAGAUCGUUCACUUUCCCACAGCCCAUGGCCUGUGGUGCAUCAGAGGUAGACUUAGGUCCUAGCAACUAAGUAUGCACUGGGCAGAUGUCACCUUGGACCCACUGUGUGGUCACCGUGCCCUACUGCACUUCACUGAGCCUGCUGGCCCCGAGAGAUCUUUGUGCAAGUGAAAGAAACUUGAAAAAGAGGGAGGAGAACAGCCAGGGAGGGUGAAGGAGCUGAGAGAGGGCGGUGGGUGUCACCUGGAGCCUGGCUUACCCCUCAUCCCACACUGGGAUCUGAUGGGCCCACAUCCUGGGCCCCCGUGACAUGGACAGCAGUCCUGUGCUCUCAUCCAUUGUGAGCCAUGGCCCCCUCUGCUGGGCUGGGUGGUUGGAGAAUGAGGUUUCUCCCGUGAGGGGUCCUGUCCAUGGGGGUCACUCCUCCACAGCUGUGAGCCGCAGCAGCCAAGGCCUUCUUCAAUGUGAGGAGGGACUCCCUGGAUGGGUAAAGCUGAUCUAGGCAGUCCCCAAGGUGACCACUGCACUGACUUCUGCCUGGGUCUGAAGGCCACAUUUGCCCCCACUUUUCAUAGACACUGGGACAUUGGCCCUGAUUCUCGAACAAGUGCCCAGAGGAAAUCGAAGCACCUCAGAGCUUCACUCUGUGUCUGCAAGUUCAUAGGAUCCUGACCACAAGUGCACUCAUGAUCACUUAUUUAGCACCUACCUUUUUCACCAGAUGGCAAACUUCAGCCCAGUGAAAAGGCAUGUUGUAUUUGCUAUAUUUAAAACACUGUUUUUGUUGCAGUAGAUGCUCAACAAAAAUGCACAGACACGCACGUACACAGCAUCCACGUUGACACAGUACAGCAUUUCAGGCCUGCCUCAUAAUCCUCAGAAACACAGCAGUUCAAGUUCAUAUUAAGAGAACUUUGGCUGUAGAUGCAACAUGAUCUGCUCCCAUGUGCAAUAGGGUUGGCACACCCAUAUUUAUGUCACGACCCAGAACAGACUCAAUACCAUUGGUUAAUUGUCCUGCUUCCUGACUGUGCUGGAGCCUACCAGGGAUAGAAAUGGGGCCCGCUAAAGAAUGAUGGGCACAUCGGAUGCCAAGACACGCCAGAGGAGGUUUGAAAUGGCUGUGAAGAGCCAGGCAGAGCAUUCCUUUCCCAGCCUGGCCCAGAGAGGGACGUAGAGAACGGGGCUCUUCCCUGCAUGGUGCACGUAUAUAAGGCUGAGCCACCUCCCGGCUUUCACACAGUAAAGGAAAGGCAUAGGGAGCUCACGUCACUUAUUUCCAUGCAGAGCACACCUGCCUGGGAUCUACGUUCACACCAAGCUCUCCUCAGCUCUGAGCUUCCAGGCUCCUCCCUUCUCAUCCGUCCCUGCUUCCUUCAUCCAAUGCCCAGUGUUGGGUCACCCUCCUCCCCACCUGUCCAUGACAGAGGGGUGGGGGACCUCAGUUCAUCCAACUCAGAUUCAGGAUCCUGGAUGUGAAACCUCACCGGGGACCCCAGCUGCCCCUGGUGUUGCUGGAUACACGAUUCUGCUUCCAGGAAACGCCAGCUUCCCAGGCCUCCACUUCCAGCCCCACCCACGGUGUGCAGAUGCAGAAUGAGGCUCUAGUUCAUUAGAACUGGUACCAACACUUCUGAAGCCUCCGCUGUCCGGGAGCUGUAGACCACAUGGGCAAGCAGGGGAAGCAGGACGUGGGGGAGAUCCGAGCAGAGAGACCCAGAACCCAGAGAAGGCAGCUUCUCUGAGAGCAGGGGGAAGGCCUAGGGUCUGGAGCCCAGCGGCAAGUUCCUGGAGUAUGGCAUGUCCCAGAUUGAGGGUGUCCAUCGUGGCAAAGGUGCACAUCGAGGCUACACAAAAGCUCAGUGGCUCAGUGUGCAGGGAGCAGGGUUGAUGGGCAGCUCAGGUCUUGUGGUGCUGGGUGCUGGGUGAUCAUGCCUAGUUUUUGCCUGAUUUCAUCUCUAUAACAUAUUUCCAAAACGGAACUGAUGGGGAGUCUGAACCUGACCUUGAGGUCAAGUUCACCACUGAGGCAAUGAGGAGUAGUGGGUAGGCCAGGGUCAUCAGAUUGAACUUUAUACUUUCAAGGGUAAACACUGAAUCCCGGUGCUGUCUCCUAUGCUGAAAGGUGCCAGCCAGCCUGGCUGUUUCCUGAACUUAAUGCAGAAGCAUUUAUUGAGCACCUCUGUUUAGGUGGUACUACAUUAAGUGCUAUGGAACCUCACACAGUCCCAGUCCUCAACCAAGAUGGCUUAUUGCACCCAUCGGAUUGACUGCAGCAUGGAGUGACCAGAUAGCUGGCCAAACCUUCUGGGUGUUUCUGUGAAUGUUUUCCAUCAACAGAAGAAUGAAUAAAGGGAAUGUGGUCUGUAUGCACAGUGGAGUUUUACUCAGCCAUAAAGAAGAACAGAUCACGGCAUUUGCUGGUGAACGGAUGGAGCUGGAGAACAUCAUGCUAAGUGAGAUAAGCCAGAUUUAGAAAGUUAAGGGCCUGAUGUUUUCUCUCAAUUGUGGAAGCUAAAGAGAGAGGGAAAAAGAAAGAAUUAAAAAAGGGAGUUCAGGAAAUUAGAGGAGACCAAUGGAGUAGAGAAAGGGAUCAAGAGGGAGGAGGGAGAGGCCACAUGAAAGUACUGGGGAAAGAACUCCACCAGACUAUGCUAUGUCCCCGUGUGAACAUCCACACUGUCCCGUGUGUGUGCAUGUGUGGUUGUGUGACGUACUAAUUAAAAUAAUAGAAGCAGAGAGAUCAGUAGGGAAGAGCAAGUAUGUUGGAGAAGGAAGAAGGGAAGGAAAGGAAGGAACUGGGGAAGGAGGUGGCUGGAAUCAUGUGCUUGUAUGACUCUGAGUGAAUAGGAACCCUACUAUUGUGGGUAAUUGCUAUGCACCAAUAAAAAGAUGAUUAACUUUUAAAUCUUUGACUUUGAGUAAAGCAGAUCCUUCUUCCCAACGUGGGUGGGCCUUAACCAGUAAAUUGAAGGCCCAGAUAGAACAAAAUAGUUGAGCCUCCCCCAGGGAAGAGGGAGCCCCUCCUGCCUACCUCACCAGGUCUCCUGGGCCUCCAUCUAGUGACCAAAGAUCUUGAGACUUCUCAGCCUUCCUAAUCCAAGGAGCCAAUUCCUUUUAAUCAAUGUUCUCUCUCUCAUAUUUAUUCUCUAAUUAUCUGUAUCUAUCCAUCUGUCUACCUGUUUGCCUGUCUGUAUCUUCAUUCCCUGUUUAUUCUGUUUCUGGGGAGGGUCCUUACUGAUUCCCCACACAAUAUGGCAGCAGGAACUUGGAGAGGCCCGAGGUUCAGACAGAAGCCUGUGGAGGCAAAGACGUGGGAAAAGCCCUGUGGACAAGGAGAGGCUGGACCAGGAUGGACCUCACACCUGAGGCAGGACAACAGGUCUGGUGUGAUUUUCCUCUGUAAAGUUCUGAAUCCAGACCUUGUCCCUGGCCUGCAAGGACCACUCGUCAUCUGGCUGGCCCCUCCUCUCCCACCCACCCCCUAUGCCCCCCGAAGCAUCUGUCCUUGCUUCUGAUAAGAAGCUGAGCUUUAGAGAGAGACCACACUGAGUUUGAAUCCCUCUCCUCCUCCUCCUCCUGCAGCAUUGACCUGGGCAAUCAUUGACCUUUUUCACUUAAUGAGCUUCAGGUUCUUCUUCGUAAAUUGGAAAUGCUAACAAUUAUCAUUUGGGAUAAUAUUCCAACCAAUUCCUCGCCAACAGAGGUUGCUGUCGUUUGUAACGUCGGCUUCACCUUCUGACUGUGUGGGGGUAGUCCUGGAAGUUCUGGACUCUGGUGCAUUGGUUGAAAAGCCUGGCCGCUCCAUUGCAGACAUGACCACCUGUGCCACACUAGCCAGAAGAAAAGGGUGCUGAGAGAAAUGACAUUUCUCUUUCCCAGAAUGCCAUGCAAACUCUUACAUUUCACAGUCUCUGAUUGGGUCAUGGGGUCAUCCCUGAACCAAUCCCAGUGGCCAUAGAGAUGGGUGCAAUCAUUAAUGAGGUCCUCCAAGGUCCAACCCUGAAACUGGGAGUGGGGCCAAUUAUUCUGAAACCACAUGGCUGAGGAUGAGAGGGGUGAUUCCCCCACACAGUGCUAAGGACCAUUUCCUGGUGCUGGUUGGAGGUGGGAAGAGAGCAAGUGUCACUCCACUGACCUCGGCUACACGCUACGUGUUCUGUCUGCUCUACCACUGCCAACUCCCCAGCCUCCUUUCUCCCCUCAGGCUGCUCAUUCUGCCUCCACUUCAGUGGUUGACGUGUCCAGGGAUGCUCUCCCAAGCCCUCCCUUCCCAGGCAAGAUUAGGGCCCUGAUGGCACAGUCCCUGCACUCUCCCAACGUGCCUGCUGCUCUCCAGCACUUGGAUCUCUGUAUUAAAAAAAAAAAAAAAAUCCCUAAUUCCUUGUCAUCCUGACCCAGUGGACUACAAGCUCUUAGAAAGAGAAGAGCUGGAUAGUUUUUCACAGUAUUGCCAAGUGGAAACAGAAUCAGGCACUUUCAAGAAGAAAGAUAGAUCUUUCAAGAUAUUUGAAAGGUGAAUGCAGAAACAGAUGGGUGAGGGAGUGAAUGAGUGAGUAAAUAAUGAAGGGAAUGAACGAGGUGAACUGACCUCACCGUCAGCCACGUGAAGGAAAGGAAGACCUCAUCUUCCUCAUUCCUAGCUACUGGUCAAAAUUGACAGAGACUCCUGUUUUGAAAACAAGAAACCCUGAAACUGGGGAAGAAUUCAACCUAAUGUAAGGAAAAAUCAGAAUCAAAAAACAGCAAGUGAGUGCAGUUAAUUAUGCUUUAGGUAUUGACCAGAAAGGACCUGAAUCAGUGUAUUGAAUUUCAAAUCAAAGCCCUGUGCCACCAGAACAAGAGGAACCACAGGGGUGGCAUUGAGCCUGACGACAGGUCAGCUCCAACCUCCUGCUCAGGAGACCUCUCCUAGGAGGUGACAUUCCAGAGUCAGGGGGAAGUCGGGUGAUGCACCCCAUGCCACGUGGGUACAGGUAGAAUCUGAGGAAGGGCACUGUGCUGUUUUUGAAAAGAAGUUCUCCAAAACCACGAGGUUGACCCUUCUCACAACGUUGGGCUUGACUUGCAGUCAGUCACUCAGAAGAUGGCGGAAGAACCCACCCCCCCCCCGGCACUAAAGGGGGUCUGUGUCAACGCCACAAUGAGCAUGGCAAGGAGCAGCGGGGCAUAGCGCCAAAAUCACUAGGACACGAAGCCUUUCUAUAGCUCUGCCCAGGUGCCUGGGCCCUCCUGACGUCCUUGCGGUGGUCAGCCCCCAAACCCAACAGGAAGGAGUGGCUUCCAGCCAUCACAGAAGAGCAAAGUGGGGUCCAGACCACUAAUGGCACAUGCACAAAGCCACUAAGAAUUGUUCAGAUGAUGUUGUGACUUCAGAGAGCUGCUUUCAUGCUCUUCAACCCCACUUCCUCGCUCUCCUCCUGUGUCAGAGGUAGGCAGAACGAAAAGAAAAAUCGCUUUUGUCUGAAGGUCAUGGCAGCACGGUACAGAGAGCCAGACCUCCACCCAGGGCCACACUGUAUGAGUCACACGUGUGUGAGCGCACGGGCACGGGCAGGCGUGAUAGAUGUGUCCUACGUGUGCUCAAACAUAAAAAUAAACAAAACAGCCACACAAAUCCCCCCCUUGGAAGUCAAAAGAGAGCGGCUCUGAGGCGGGUUCCUGUAGAGCCCUCUCUCUAUUCCUGAGAGGUUCAAUUAAUGGAUGCAAGUCAUAAACCAGAGCGUCUUCCCCGCGCCGUGAUGCAUUGUUUUUAAUCUCGCUGCCUCGUAUUAUAUCACAUUCCUAUAAUUCUUCCGACAGGAAGAGGCUUGUUUCAUAAAAAUAUAGUCCCCAGCAUUUGAAAUAUAAGUCCACAUGCAGGCAACAUAUAUAUCACCGGGCCAGCAAACUAACUCACUUACUUAAUCCACUAAACUUCAGGUGCUUCCUAUAUUAUGUGAAAUGGUUGGGAACAGGCAGGAGAUGCCAGAGCCCAUCAGAGCCGCCUCACUCAAGAGCGACAAGGGGAGAAGGGAGGAGGGGGAGUGGAAAUCCCCUCCGUGGGUGCCACAGUAACAUGCCUUUCAUUAUCACCCCGUGUCAGGGCACUGGGUAAUGUUCAUCCUAGCUAGUUGAAUGUCUGCAGAUGGCAUCUCUGAUAGCACUUCAGUGAGGUGGAUUCUGAGCUUAGGAGUGAGAUGUUCUUCUACCUUUGCAGGCAAUUGCUGAUGCUUCUGGUCUGCUACAAUAUAAGUCUGGAUGCAAAUAUUGCAAUAACAAAUAACCACAGGUGUUUUUUGAAGAACCAAUAGGGUUUUCCAAAGGAAAGGUUUCUCUGGUCCCUACAUCCAGGAGCUCAGGGUUCCGUGAUUUCCAGGCAGGCUGCUUUUUGCACAUGUCCUGGAGUGUGGUGGGAAGUCACUGCUGGCUUUGCAGUUCACACUCCUGGUGAACCAGUCACCCUGAGCACUGUGCUGAGCCAACCUCCUCUUCUCCUGCUGGCCAGCACUGUCCAUGGGGCUUGCUGGACCCUGGGGUGUUUUCCAUGAGUACCUACUGCCCAUGCCCAGUGCAAGGCAGUGCCUGGGCUCUGCACAGAGUAGGUCUCAUAUGUGCUCCUGUGGGCAAAGGUCAGCCCCAGACAGAGCCCUGGUCCUCCCCACUGUGGCCUCAGGCUGUCCUGUGAUCUUCUAGGCUGGUAGGGUUCUAGCAUGCCUUUCUUCAUCUGUCCCCUCCCUCCUACAGGAGUGAGGCCUGGCCAGGCCAGGAAGGGUUCCCUGGAGAAUCAGUCUGUGCCAAGACCCCCAGAGUUUUACCUCUGUCAGGCUCCUUAAUCUUCCCAGGGAGGAGAAGCAGCACACCUGCCGGCAAGGAUGUCUUCUCUUGCUCUUCUCAUCUCCCAAACUAAACCUUUGCCUUUCCUUGCUUUCUCUUCUGCUUUCUCAGAUCCCAUGUAGAGAUCCUACACAGCCUGAUGGCCUGUCUGCUCUGUUCAGAAUAUUUUAGUAGAGAUAUAAUUAUCCAGUGCCAUACAGAAAUGCUAGUCACUGUGCUUUAUCCCAAGCCACUUCCCCACAGAGGCCUGCAGAGAAAGAGCACAGGGCAAAAGGAAUGGAAGACAUGUCAGGUUUCCACAUCAAUCACCCCGAGGCUAUUUACUGAACAACAAAUGUAGCCUUGACCUUGGGGCUGUAGAUGUCUUACAGCCUUGUCUGUGCCUAGCCCUAGAAGAUAGAGAGUACUUGAAGAUAAAGCAUGCUCCAUGAUGUUAAGGACAUCAUCAACAGGAGGCUCAACCAAUUCCAGUGAGACUUCCAUCAGCAUCUGGAGACUACUCCUAAGCACAAGGAGGUGGGACGUGUGUUCCACAGCUGGGGAGGCACUUCCACAGAUAAAAACUUCAUUACCCCAAAACUGCGCUGCCCAGGUAAGGCAGCUACCUCCUGCAUGUGGCCACGCAGGUGCAGCUUAACCCCUACUAAAUCAUACAGGAAUGCCAGUCCCACAGCCACCUGUCUAGUGGGUCUCACACAGAGCCCUGACCUUCCUGGGCUUCUCCCAUGAGAAGAAUUUAUGCAGGAGGCCUGAGCUGGAGGAGGGUGAGUGAAUGUUGGGGAGCAGUUUAACCACAAGAGCCUCUACCCACACGUGCCCUUCAGUUCUCAACCACGCUAAAUGGAUGGAUGGAGGGUCUCAGCCCAACUAUAGUGAGCAUGAAAAGAAAGGAUGAGUCCUGCACUCAAAGGAAAGGGGGAAAGAAAAUGGUUCAGAGGGUGUUUAACCACUUGUUCACACACUGGUAUAGAUAAUUCAAUUGAUUUCUCACAAGUACAUAGAAAAGAAAUUAUUUUGGAGACAGUAUUUUCAUACUCCAACUUUCACAAGCAGAAGAGUUCGGACUCCUGUAGAUCAACCAGGAAGCCCAAGUCCAUAGGCCUCAGGGGGGCAGAGUCGUUGACCUCCUAACACAACAGUCUCUCUGUUUCUCUCUCUCUCUCUCUCUCUCUCUCUCUCUCUUCCCAGCCUCAGGCCUGGAUCCUCGUAUGCAUGUUGAACCUGGUCCCAGUGGGAGAAUUAAGCUGACCUGCAUGUCCCCAGGGUGGUACCCGGAGCCAGAGGUACAGUGGAGUGGCCCAGGAGGACUCCUUCUAGAACCUGCCUCGGAGACCAGGACUAUAGCAGGAGAUGGCCUGUUC